AAAGCACCCCAAUCAUAUUUUUUAAGGGCACCAACCAUGAGCAUAGGCAUAGCUGGGCUUAUAUCUACACCCAUUCCUGCGUUGAUUAAUAUAUCAACGUGUAAGGCAGUAAUCUUUCCAUUCGAUUUGAACCCUACACUGUAGGUUACUUUCAUUGGAUGUCUUCCUCCAGCUAUUUUCAUGUCAGUUUUGCGAUUCAUAUAUAUCCGGACAGGGCGUUGUAAUUUGUAUGCUGCAAGUGCACAUGCUGUAGCUACCUGAGGCACCAUAGAUUGAGUGAUUUCACUUAGAAGCCAUUGUUAAGGGAAAGGAACAGUACAAAAGAUAGGCCAUCAGAGGAAACAGAGUCAGAUAAAGGAAGAACUAUGUGUGCAUUUGUGUGUAUGUGUGUUUUCCUCGUAUUCUCCUUCAAAUGGCCGUACUCUUUUGGCCAUAUGGACACAAACACACAAUGUAACCAUCAAUUAUAUACUCACAGCAAUUGCUUUCAUGGCCUUUCCACCAAAACCACCUCCAACCCUUCUUGUGAUCACACGGACAUUGUGUUCAGGAAUACCAAGACAUCUCGAAAUCGUAGUAUGUGCAUUUUCAGGGCAUUGUAUUGAACUGUAAACCACAAUGCAGUUGUCUUCAUCGGGAACUGCAAGGGCAGUUUGUGUCUCCAUAUAGAAAUAAUACUGUGACCCAAGUCUGAUCUGGAUGUGACAAUUCAGAAAGCAUUUAUCAUAAAACCAAAACAAGAAAGAAAAACAUUAAUAGGAAUAGAAAAAAAUUGUAUAACAAGUAAAUGAGAAGUACCUCAGCAGAGAGAAUCUUGUGAUCUGCUUCAGCCAUUCCUCUAGAGAAAUCACCAACCUGUUUUGGGCUAAUGAUGGAAGGAACCUCAAAAAAGCUAGAUCUCCUAACAGCCUCUUCUACCGAUAAAAUGGGUGGUUCCAGAUUUUCCAUGUCAUAAUCGAUCACUGCAAGGUUUGCAGCCAUAUUUGCAUGUUUCUGUGUGUCUGCAACCUAUACACAUAUACGACCAGUGACUGAACUGGGCUUCUCAGUUCAUAAACUAAUCAAAUGUGUUUGUAUGCUACGCCCAUUAAAAGAAAAUUUAUAAUAAACCCAACAGAAAGCAAAAUAUGCAUAUAUAUAUUGGUGGACGAGAAAGACAGAAUCAUCGAAUUACCACAAAAGCAAUAUACUCUCCAGCACAUCGGGUAAAAUCAUCUGCAAAUAAAGGUUCAGUACCAAACAUAGUUUUACAGCCUAUGUUCUCCCCUGGGAUAUCUUUAAAAGAAAUAAGUGCACUGACUCCAGCUGCCACUGAUUUGGGGUUAAGUUUGAUACCCUUUACUCGAGCCAAAGGCUUUGUACCAUAAAUGAAAGCCCCAUGUAGGCAAUUUGUUGGAGAGGGAAUGUCAUCCACAUAAACAGCCUCCCCUACGAAAUCGUUUAACUCAUGUCAGUUGUCUAGAAAAAGGAAAUAUCAGGAGCCUAUGGUAAUGGAUAAGCAUGUCUAAAAGGACAUGUGGGGAGAAAAACAAACAUAAAAAGUAGGAAAAAUCAAGGCUCCUUCUGAAACUUGAAAAGUUUGGGAGUAGGUAGGAAGAAAAGAAAAUAUAAGGAAAGAAAAAUGAAGAAAAAAAAAAACGGAUGGGUUUAAAUUGGAUAGAUUUUUCAUUUAUGUUUAUCCACAUUUUUUUUCUUCUCUUUUAUAUGAAGAGUGAAGAAUUUGAAAAUGUAAAAAUUUUAAUUAUACUUGAUAUUUAUUCAUACUUUUCCGCAAUAAACCAAACAAGAAAAUUUAGAUACCUUCCUAUUUCUUUCCUUUCCCUAGAACUUUAUAUACUCCAAAUGGUGCUAAAGAUAUAUGUGACCAAAGGUAGUCAUUAUCAUGGAUUAUAUAGUAACACAUGGCCUUAUUGAGCUACAAAUGCCCCGCCAGAGUGGUAAUUGGUGAAUAAAAUAGAGUAAGUGAGAUAAAUUGAAUCUAGCGUGGUUGUAACAUGACAAAAAGCACAAACAAAAAGUCAAAGAAAGAUCAUUCACAAGGCUGGAAAGAAAGUAUUGAUUUUUUGAAUAUAAAGUUUUGAUGACAAUAAAUUCCCUUAAAAAAGAAACAUCACACACCAUAAUAUAACCAAUAUAAACUUCACCAUAUAAAUGAACAGAAAAUUAAAUUUAAGAAUGUAGCCAAAUAUUUUACUAUUUGAAAAAUAAAUUGCUCUAAAGUUCUAGGCCAUCAAUAAAAUCAAUUAUCUUUAACUAGUUUCAUGUCUCCUAUUGUUAGCCCCUUGACUCAAGUGACACAGUGCCAAGGGUCUCAUGGGUAGGCACCUUGCACCCAUAAAGACCCUAGGAGAGUGAGGCAAAUUGAAACCAAGGUUCAAUGCAUCAUAUGCGCGAGCUUGGUGGUACAACACAUGAGCUGGCACGAUGAGGUGGCAAGUAGCACGUGACACAACAGGUGUCGCAAGCUAGAUAGUAGGUACUGACACAACAGGUAUCACACUUGACAUAGCAAGUGCCACACACAACAUAACAGGUGCCACAGGCAACAUAGCAAGUACCACACGCUACUUAGGCCACUACCACAUGCAAUGUAGUGGGGUGUUGCAUGCGAUGUAGCAGUUGUAGCCCAUGGCUUAGCACACAUGCACUAGGUGGCAUGACCUAACUCGGGUAAAAUUCAAGUGUUGAAUUUUGACAUGCUUAUAUUUUUCCUUUGAAGAGGAACCUUCAAAAGGGAGUCUCCAAGUGGAAUUGUGGCUGUUUGGAUUUUCAUGAAUUAAUGAAAAAUCAUUAUGCCUCCUUAAGACCCUUGGUGUCUUAUAUUGGCACUUUGGGAAUGGCCUAAAAUGAUUGUUAAGGAGGGUGGAUGCAUGAUUUAAGGCAACGUGGCUUAAUCUUGGCCACACAAAGGGGGUAUGAUGCAAAGCCUCGGACAUGGGCAAGACACUUAGGUGGGCCUUGCUAGAACCGACACAUGGACUCAAUAACAUGUGGUGGUGUGCAACCUAUGACCACAAUUCCUUCUGCUACAUAUUUUUUUUCCAAAAUUUCAGGGGGGAUGUUUGCCCCUCCUAGGCACAAGGUGGCUCCACCCCUGCAUUGUUGCAUUGAAGUGAGAAUUGGGCAUGGCAGGGUGCUUCUGCAACAACAAAAGGCUGCCUCAGACAUGGUGGUGCAUGGUUGAUGGGAGGCAAGAGUAAGGGUAUGGCAUGCUGACUCGUGGCCUGUAAGGCAAGACCUUGCAGGGGGCUGUCCCAUGGGCGCCUAAGACAUGGGCAACAACUCCAAUGUUCCAAGGGCAUAAGUAGACAACCUGAUGCAUGGACAUCACAUGGUGGGCUAAGGCACACAGAUGCACAGAUGGGCUGAACAUGCAUUGACGAGCUAGCAUGCAUGGGUGGGCAGACUUGCACACAUGGACCACAUUGAUGUGGGCUGACAUGCAACUUGGGAAAUAACUCCAAUGCUCCAAAGGCAUAAGGAGACAAACCUGAUGCAUGGACAUCACAUGGUGGGCUAAGGCACACAGAUGCAAUCAGAUGGGCUGAACAUGCAUUGACGAGCUAGCAUGCAUGGGUGGGCAGACUUGCGCACAUGGACCACAUUGAUGUGGGCUAACAUGCAACUUAGUGGGCUGGACAUGGCAUAAGGGCUGAUUCCAUCAGAGGGUAGGUUUGAUUGGUUUCAUGGGUGGUUACUUGGCACCUUUUAGGAAGAGAAGGCAUCAGAAGGCUUGUGAGUGAUUGUGUGGCAUAAAGAGGCACCUCAAGGGAAGAUGGUCUCGUCAGUUGGGUGGUUUUGUAACUACCCCCUACCAACUUGAAUUCAAAUGAAUUGGAAUUCAAAUUAAAUAUGAGAAUGUAGCCUCUGGGUAUAAAUGGUGGUAGGGGGUUGUGGGGCUCUUCUAUUGCCUAAACAGAGACACACGGUGAGGUGUAUGAGAUUGGGGGGUGGGGGUUGGGGGUGGUGCCGCUCAUUUCAGAAAACAGGAAAAAAAAGAGCCUUGUUGCAAAUUUGUGCAUGUGACACCUACCAUAUCCAUGAAACCAACAACAGAAUGGUACUUGUAAGAGUAAAAUAAAAAUUAAAUAGAAAAUCAACUCUUGUUUUUCAUAAUAUAAAACCAAGUUAGUGUAACGAACCAGAAGCUUGGAUGGCAGCCCCAGACUUUGCAAUUGGCUCACCAACUGGACGAUACUGUCUGUUCAAUUCCACUUCCUGCUUUGCAGAAGAUAGCAAGGUUGAGAUUUUACCAUGAUCUAACUGCUUUGCAGGAGACAGCAAAGUACUAUAUCCAUCCACACAGCCAUCAGGUGAUUCAGCAUUAGACUCAACCAAAUGGCUAAAGAACUCAAAAAGAAAACUGACAGCCAAGCUUGACCUAUAAGCUGGACUUGAAGUGCCAUCAUCAGGUACCACAAUGCCUCUAAGUAAUUUAACAGCCUCACAUAGAACACCAACACUUAGCACUUUUCCAGUUAAAAAUUCUUCAACUUUUGUCGCUCUUAUUGGAUGUUUUGUCCCAUAAGCACCAAAAGCAAACUGACAGUUACUUACAAUAAUGCCAAUAGAAGUUGUACAGCGAGAAACUUUAGCCAUUAAAGCAGCAUUUAAAUAGGGCAAUGCAUUUCCUAACGGCCGUGGUGCAGCUCGAUAAGUUUCAAACAGUAACUUCAUCUCGGUCCCUGAAGAAAUGCCCAUAAUCCGAUCCCAAUCUGGGAUUUUGACGCCUACAAGUAUACUUUUCGAAUCUAACUCUGGCCUUCUUAAGAACUCCUCCAAUGUAAGCUCUUCGCUUUUGAGACUAUUCAUUAUAUUUACAGUUGAACCUACUGCAAGAAGUACUGUAGCAAUGUCGGAGGGGAAAUGAUUCCUUUGUGCCAUCACCAGAUUUCCACCUAAACUAGCUGAGUUCCGGAUGAACCCUGAAGCAACUUUUUCCAUAUGGUCAGCAAUUUUUUUAUAGACCAUGUCUCCUUCUGAGUAAAAUCCACUUUGGUUGUAUUCCCUUAGAGCUUCAAUAGCUUUAGAUAUUGUUAUAGUUGCUCCAAUGCUUAUCCCGGUAUUAUCCCUUCUAAUCGUUGAGAAUUCAGGGAUAUGUCUUAGAUCAAUAUAUUUGUCGUAGCUUUCCACUUCCUUGUAAUAACCCAUACCAGUGUUACCAACCACUAAUUUAACCCGAGUCCCAUUUCCAUCCUCAACAAAACCCAAUAAGCUUUGAAGUUCCUCAAUGGUAACAGGAUUAUACCAGGAAUAUCUACUAGAGUCUAAAAGCAAUGUAGACCUAGUUUCAUUUUUCAAGAACUGAGGAAAUGUACAGAUCUCAUCAUUAUGGUUAUACAGGGGUAAGCUGCUUAGUUUCACUUCUUUACUAUCUCCCUUUCUCCAAAAGGAAUUAAACCCCAAAUCCUCCAUAUCAACAUCUGCUGCAAAACUUUUACAGGCAUCAGCAAUGGGCCGGUAUCCAGUACAGCGGCAGAGAUUUCCUGCAAUAGCCGUUUCAGCUUCAGAAACUUUCAGCUUGGAGAAUCCCCUAGGGGGCUCUGGCCGGGGGGUUUUCUCAGCAUUGACAAGAGCCGAGAAGAGUGACAUGCACAUUCCAGGAGUACAAAAGCCACACUGAGAAGCAUGGAAUCCAGAGAACCUUUCAUGAAUUGGGUGGAAUCCAUCUUUCGUGUUCCCAAGGCCUUCAGUUGUUGUAAUUGAACAUCCAUUUACACUACAAAGCAGGGUAAGACAUGAACUCACCGUACAAUCAUCCACCUGGUCAUGCACAGGGUUAUACUUGGACAGUAGAACAACACAAGCACCACAACCACCUGAAACAAUGAAGUUAGCAAACAUUUCAAUGUAUCAGCUGCCUGAUUUUUGAGAUUUUGAUAGGCUAUACAAAAUCAUAAUCUUCAAUGGCUAAACUAUAUUAGGAACUAAUUGAAUAAUGGGACAAUUAUUUAAUAAUUGAACGGCAUAAUCAUCAGCAUAGGCAUUAGUCAAAUAGUUAAAUUUUCAAUCUUAUGUUUCUUGCCGUUCAUCCUCCCAAAAAACAAAGAGAAAGCCUACACCACUACAAGAGCAAUGGACCCCAUUACCCCCAUCGAUUUAAAUAUAGGUAGGAACCAAAAAAUAAAAUCCGACAACAAAAUACAGAAAAAUGGAAUCACAGGACAAUACAAUUGACAACAAGCAAUAAAGAGAACCAGGAAACAAAAAUUAGACACGCUGAAGAAGAAAAUACAUCUAUCAUUGAAGAAAAGGAAACCUGGAUUGGGAAUCCAAGAACCAGAGGAAAGACAGAGUGAUAUGACAGGGUGAUGUAGAAAAUAAAGAAAAAUUAAAAGGAGCAUUAAAGGGAACAUGAUGGAGAAAAACCCAACAUGAAGGAAAAAGGAAUAUCCAACUUUAUCCGUCAAAGAAAAAAGUAGCUCAGAUUGGGCAUCCAAGAGUGCAGAGAAACAGAGGUUCAUACGAUUACAGGUAUGUGUGUACAAAUAUAUACAAAAACAUGGACAACAAAAUUAAAAGCAGAACAUGAUAAAGGAAAGUCAACACACAGAGAAGAAAAACCCGUAUACCCAUCAAAGAAAAAGAAAACCCAAAUUGGGAAACCAACAAGCAGAGAGAAAGAGAGAAGCAUAUGACCAAAGCAAACAUAUAUAUGUACACUGAAUAAAGUACAAAAAAACGCGAGUACAGAGGAGAAGAAAGAUAGAUACCUUCACCGCAGCUGAGCUUGGGACCUUUGAAAGGAGUGUGAGAACGCAAGAACUCAAGCACGGUAGUGGAAGGGUGGAUGGUGGAGACCUCAAACCUCUUUCCAUUAACAGCAAAAACCAGACAGUUGUUUACAGUUGAUUCAGACUGCUCCAUUUCUCCACUGCAAGUCUGCAACUCAAAUCACAGUCAAGAUUAUGUACAGAUAUUAUUCUAUCCUGUAUUUGGGGACGGGGGAAACUAGGAAACUCACUCACAACUAUACGAUUUCCGACGUGUCCAUUUUUGACUUAACACUCAACCAGACAAACAGAAGAAAGAAAUCAAUCUCUGCACGCCAUUGACCGAUUUGGUGCGUCUUUGCUAAUACGUAAAAACGUUGUCUUUAAAUAUUUUGUCCUGUAAAAUUAAGAAUUAAUUAGUUAAAAGGGGGGGUAUUCCUUGUAAUUGUGAAUCUAACACUUUCGAUAUUUUUAUUCGAAGAGUAGUUCACAUUACUUGGAAUCCCGAGGAAUAGAAGAAUCAUACAGGGAUUUGAUGUAAAUGUUUUUUUUAAUAUUUUAAGUAUAUACAUAUAUAUUUUUAAAAAAUAAAUUAUUUUUAUAAGAAAGAAAUAAAAUAUUUUUAUCAAAAUAAAAUAAAAAAAUGAUAAAAAUUUUAAAUUUUAAAAUAGAGUUUUUAAUGAUCCUUUUAAUCGGAAAAACCUUAAAAUUAAUGUACUCUUCGAGUACAAAUUAUUAAGUUAAAAUAAAUUUUUAAUGAAGGUUUAGAUGCAUUUUUUAUUUUUUUAAAAAUAAAAAAUUUUAUAUAUAAUCUUUUAUGACAUUUCCCUUUUUUUUAUAUAUAUAUAUACAAUAUCAAAUUUCUUAGAUAAAAAUGGGUAGAUACCUUGUGUAUUUAAAAUUGUUUUUUAAAAUUUAAAAAAGUAAAAUAUUGUAAGUUGUUCAAAUUUUGUAAUUUUGAAAAGAAUUUUUUAGAAGGUUAGGAUACUUUUUUUAAGAAGAGCUAGUUUUUAUUAAGAUAAUUUUUUUAGCUACUUUUUAUACAAAGUGUUUCUACACCUUAUUUCUUAAAUUAUGAUAGUUAUAAUAAUGUUUUUUUCCUUAUUAUUUUAAAUUCAAUGUGCAUGACAGCAAAAGAAAAAGUGAUUGUGUUUGAUUUUUAUUCACAGUUAAGUGAUGUAGCUGACUUUUAACCUUGGGAAAAAAAAUUCCCAAAUCAAAAGUAGUUAGAAAAUUCGAAUCCAAGGCUACAACUAUUGAAAAAGUAAGGAAAAUGACUCUUUAAGUAAUGACAAACUUGUAGCAUCCUUUCAAACAUAUUAAAUGUCCCACUUGAUUCUCAAAAGCCAUAGGGACUUGCCUUCAAAGAUUCUAAGAAACUUAAAUAUACUAUUAGAGAUCACCAAAGGUAAAAAAAAGUUGAAUACUUUACAACUGUGGUAGGUUAUGACACAUAGUUAGUGAUUGUCUUGAUCAUCAUGAUAGGUUUCUUAUGGUGAGUGCACAAGUAUAUAUGGUUACAUAUUAAAUAAGACUUAUAGUGAAUCAUGACAUUGGCUAUUGAAUAGUCAUAUUAACCAAGCUACUAUGCCAUAUGAGAUCUCAAUCUUGAGAGUAUUGAGGUAGUGUUAAGGUCUUCAAUGUCUUUAGCCUAUGGGUCAGACUCUAAGGCAGUUAUAUAUUCCCUUAGGAUUAUGUCACUUUUGAUUAUGGUAAAUGACAACAAGUAUUCUUAAGAUAGGCAUCGUGAUAUCUCAUUGGUUUGAGGUAACAUGUUUCCUUAGGUAAUCCUAAGGGCAUAUGAUCAUGAAACCUAUGUCACUUUUUGUCAGUUUACUUGUUUUAUUCAUGUUGAUUAUAACCUAUUGUGUUUCUACAUGUUUAGAAUAUAUAUAUAUUUGUGAUCUAAUUUAAAUGAUUCAAUUUAUAGAUUUACUUAUUUCAUUAGAUCAUGUUGUACUCUAAGAUAACUUAACAUUCAUUUAAUUAUAUAUAUAUAUAUAUAUAUAUAUAUUUGGGAUUUUUGCAUCAUCGGUUUACUUCUCAAAUACAAAUAAGAUAGAGUGUUUUAUCCUCUAGGAGUUAAAACCCAGGGAACCCAACAAGACUUCUUAAAAAUGAUAAAUUCUAAACAUGUAGAAACACAAUAGGUUAUAAUCAACAUGAAUAAAACAAGUAAACUGACAAAAAAUUCAUAUAUAUUGAGUAUAGUGUCCAAAAUACCAAGUCUAAAAUCAAUCGCUUUAAAAAGAACACUCUUGAGUAGUUGUGUUACUAUUCAUGGUUGGAUACUUGGAUCACCAUUGUUGACUUUACUAAGAUAUUAUCUCAAAAAGGAUUACAUUUGUAACGACUUGCACCUAGUUGUGUAGAUAUUGUUUGUUUUGAACCCAAAGGAGCCCUCAUGACUUUAAAACAUGUCUAUAUGAUUAAAAAGAGCUUAUACUUAUAUAGUGUUAAUAACUUUUUCUACUACAUCACAAACACCCCCCCCCCCCCCCCUCCCCCCUCCCCAUGCAAACAGAACAAAGACAGUAUGUCUUAUGAGAUUACGAGGCCAAAUAGACAAACAUCCCUCAUAGGCCCAAAGAAAUCCCCACACCAAGGUCGGGAAUUGGGUUUGAUACCAUUUAUAAUGAUCAACACCCAACCGUGUAAAUAUUGUCUAUUCUGGAUCUAAAGAAGUUCUCAUGACUUUAAAAUGUGUUUACAUAAGAGAAUUUCAUACUUAUAUAACACCAUAAACUUUCUCCUCUAUUCGAUGUGGGACAUCUUACGAGGUCAAAUAAACCCAUCCACACCAAGGUCAAGGAUCAACUUUAAUACCAUUUGUAACGAUCCGCACUCAAUCAUAAAAAUAUUGUCUACUCUACACCUAAAAGGGGACUCUCACGACUUUAAAAUGUGUUUACAUAAGAGAAUUUCAUACUUAUAUAACACCAGAAACUUUCUCCUCUAUUCGAUGUGGGACAUCUUACGAGGUCAAAUAUACUCGUCCACACCAAGGUCAAGGAUCAACUUUAAUACCAUUUGUAAUGACCCGCACCCAAUUGUAAAAAUAUUGUCUGCUCUACACCUAAAGGGACUCUCACAACUUUAAAACACUUCUACAUGAUUAAGAGAAGUUCAUACUUAUAUAGCGUUAGAAACUUUCUUCCUUAUCCAAUGUGGGACAUCACAACAUCUGCUCCAAGGAAAGUGAUUAUAAACCUCAACCAAUCAUGAUAAGUUUUAUUUUUCAUAUUUUAAUUUUCAUUUCUUCAUUGUUCAAAUUUUGUCUUUUACAUUUAUAUUCUGGUUUGCUUGUUUAGUGGGGUGACCUUAGUUAAAGGAUAAUUUUCAAUAAUUAUAUUCCAAUAAUUUAGAGUUGCUAGAUCUCAAAUUUCUUCAGAAUAACUACAUUUCAUUUUUUAUUGAUUCACAGAUGAAAUAAAAUUGUUUAGUUUCAUCUUUUCCACCACUAAUAGUUACUUAUACAAUUUUAUACUAAUACAACGAGCUAGGGUGUUAGGUAAAUCAACUUAAUAACUUAAUAUGACUUAAUAAUUUAAUUUAAGAUAUCAAAUAGAAUAAACAUAUUUGAUGAAAUAAUUUAAUAUCACAACUUAGCGGGUAUUUGAUAAAACUUAAUAUUUAUUACUUAAUGAUUUAAGUUGACUUUAAAUUGAAUUAUUCUUAAGUCAUUAGCUAAAAAAUUAUUACUUAGUUUUUACUUUAAAUAUUAAGAUUGUUCGGUAAAGUGAAUAUAAAUUUAAAUAAUCAAAUUGGUAUAUUUACCUUCGUUAAUUUUAAGAAAUAUUUUAUCCUUAUGUAGUUUAAUUCAUAUUUAUUUUUUUAAAAAUACAUGUACGUAUAAAAUAUUUAUAUUUAAAUUAUUAUAGAUAUAUAAAAUAACAAUAAAAUAUUUAUUAUAAAAAAAAUGAGUCAUGGGUGUGGAAUUUAAUUUUAAAAUAUACUUUUACUAAUAUGGGAAAAUGAAUCAAAAAAGAUUUGAGAUUAAGAAUAAACUAAUCAUUUUAACUUAAUACUUAAAGUUAAAAAUAACUUUAAGUUAUAACAUUAAAUUAUUUUAUCAAACAAGGUUAAUCUAUUUAAUAAUUUAAAUGAAGUUCUUAAGUCAUUAAGUUGAUUUAUCAGAUACUCUCUUAAAAUCAAAAAUAAUUUUAAGUAUAAAAUCAAAAUAGUGAAUUUAUUUUUAAUCUCAAAUCUCAUUUUCCUUAUUUGUUUAUGUCCAAUGAGAAUAUAUUUUAUAGUGAUUACUCCAUAUUCAACCGCCACUUUUAAUAGUAAAUAUUUUGUAGUUAAUUAUCUUAUAUAUUUAUAAUUCUUUAAAUAUAGAUAUGUAACAAAUAAGUUUAUUCCUUAAGAUUAGUGAAAAUAUAAAUAUUAAUAAAAAUUAACGAGGGAAAAUAUGUUAAUUUUGAUUAUUUAGAAUAUAUUUUGAGUUCACUUUAUCAAACAACCUUAAUAAUUAAAGUAAAAAUUAAGUAAUUAAGUAAUAAAUAUUAAGUUUUAUCUUAAAACUUAUUAUUUGAAUUUUACUUUAAAGUUAUUUAAUAAAGUUAAGUUAUAAUUUUUUUAAAUCAUCAAAUUGACAUAUUUACCCUCAUUAAUUUUAACUAAUAUUUAUACUUCUUAAACAAUGAAUUUAUUUAUUAAACAUCCAUAUUUAAAGGAUUAUAUAUGUAUAAGUGUUGUAAAUACAAUGGCGAAUGACCACAUUGAUGGUUAUUUAUGAACUCCAUUUACUCAUCUUUAAGAUGAGUAAUGAGAGUUCAUAUUGUGAAGCCUAUAAAAGGCUUCUUACACCCCAUGUCAGAAGCAUCCCAAGCAAAAAAAAGAUAUUCUCUUAUUCUCAUUCCCUCUCUCUUUUUUUCAUUCUCUCAACAUUUCUCUUCUUUGAUUUCUUUCUCCCCUAUAUAUAUAUAUUAUUAAAGUAAUACAAAGUCAUCUCUACUUUUAUUUGAGUCACAUUUAUUCUCAUUUUACAACACGUUACCAGCAUGAAUUACUCUAAAGGUAAUUCUUAUAUCUUAAACUUAAAGUUAUUUAUAUAGAAUAAAAUUUUACAUAUUUAUAUCAUUGUUGAUUUGUUUUGUUACAAAUUGUUAAAAGUUAUAAACAAAUUAUUUGAUUUUGUUUAUAAUCAAAGUUAUACCAAUUCUAUCAAGUUAUUAUAAUUGAUUCUAAUAAUAUUGUUUUGUCACAUAUAUGAAGUUAUUUGACAAUGUCGAAUAUCACAAAACUCGAAUUUGUGGCACUUGACAUUUCAGGAAAAAACGAUCUAUCUUGGAUCCUUGAUACUGAAAUACAUCUUGAUGCAAUGAACCUUGAAGCUACGAUCAAAGAAGGAAAUCAAGCAUCCCUGUAGGAUCGCGCAAAAGCAUCGAUUUUCCUCCUCCAUCACCUCCAUGAAGGUUUAAAAAAUGAGUAUUUUAUGGUAAAAGACCCUUUUACUCUAUGGAGUAAUUUGAAGGAAAGAUAUGACCAUUAGAAAACUAUAAUUCUCCCAAAAGCUCAAUAUGAUUGGAUGUACUUCAGGUUUCACAAGAUUUUAAAUCUGUUAGUGAAUACAAUUCCGCACUUUUCAAAAUCAACUUUCAAUUAAAGUUGUGUGGAGAAAAAAAUCACAGAAGAAGACAUGUUAGAGAAAACUUUUACUACGUUUCAUGCCUCAAAUGUGCUUCUACAGCAGCAAUAUCGAGAGCGUAGAUUUACAAAAUAUUCUGAAUUAAUAUCAUGUCUUCUUGAUGCUAAACAAAAUAAUGAACUUUUGAUGAAAAAUCACCAGUCUCAUCCAACUGCAUCUGAACCAUUCCCUGAAGUGAAUGCAAUAUCGUCCUAAACUCGUGGACGAGGACGAGGACGAGGACGAGGACGUGGUCGUGGUUGUGGAAGAAAUCCAUGAUACCAUGAUUCUUAUAGUAAUAAUUCUAAGAAAAUGAAAGCCUCAUUGCACCACUAGAAGUAGAACAAUACUGAGACAAAACAAGAAAAUGGGAAGCGUUUACAAGAUAAACCUCCUAAGAACCAUGAAAAUAAUUGUUAUAUAUGUGGUAUGAAGGGGCAUUGGUCGCAUACCUGUCAUAGGCCCAAACAUUUGGUCGACCUUUACUAAGCAUCAAUAAAAACCAAUAUUUUAAAAACCGGACAUGACCGGCCUGUUCGACCGUCGACCAGUCACCAUUCCAGUCCGGUCCGACCAUUUGGCCCGUAAAGAAGUUGAGCCGGAAUCGAACCAGCUGAACCGACGAUCGAACCGCCGAACUAGCCGGUUCCCUCCAUCGCCGACCACUCAACUCCCCCCUCCCCCGCGGUUGUUCCCAUUGUCGCCGACAGUGUUUGAAAUAUCGAAAAAAUUUGGCGAUAUUUCUCAAAAAUCAUGGAGUUAGGGUUUGUGAAAUUUAAAUCCAUUGGCAUAAAAGCAAAGAGACCCCUAGAACAGAUCCGGAAAACACAAGGAGCAAAAAAAAUAGCAAUUUUGUUGGUUUUCCUUGGGGGUUUUGAACGGAUUUUCUCAGAAAUCAAACGAGGAUGAAUUUUCCUGGAAAUCAAAUGGGGGAUGGAUUUUCUUGGGAAUCAAACAGGGGUUGCAAAGAAAAAAAAUCAAAAACAUGAUUAGAUUAGUAACUGCGAGGAUUGAGAGUGGCAGAGGAAAGUAGGGCUUUUUACCUUUUACUUUUAGGGAUUGUGUCGUCUGGAGGGCACCUUCAGAGAAAACUGAAAAGGGCUUCUUUGCCUCGAGUGCGAGAAUUCCUCUGUAUAAAUAAUUAUUAAUUAUUAAUAAUUCAUCUUAAUUUUUAUUAAAUCAAAACCGUGCUUGAGUUCAAUGCAUGCUACCAUUGGACUAGUCUUUGAUAAUAUAUAUUUAAUUUAAAUUUGUUAAGGUUCAUCAUUAAAAAAAAAUUUUAAUUUUAAUUAUUUUAUUUUAAAUUAUUUUUAAUCUAUUAAUAAAAAUAUAAAAAAUAAUAUUAUAAAUUAUAUUUUAAUUUUUUUUUAAUAAUAUAUAAAAAUAUAUAUUUAUGACGUCACCGAUUCAACCGCAGUUCGACCACUGGUCCGACCAGUGAACCGUGAACCGAUAACUUUUCCGGUUCAAUGACCAGUCCGGUUCUGAAAACAUUGAUAAAAACAAAAGAAAAAGAGAUAGAAAUGAACUUUACCGAUGGUGAUAGAUUGGACCUAACCUACUAUGACAUUGAUUUUUUUUGGAGGUCCCAAUGAAAAAACAGACCAUUUGAUAAAUGAUGAGAAAAUUAACAUUAAUUGAUGUUACUUUAUAUAUGAAAUAAUAUAUUAUUAUGUCUUAUAUUUACAUAUGAUUUUCUUUUGUUAUUUACAUUAUGCCUUGUUUUUUUUUUUUUAGUUAUAUCUGAAAUCCAUGUGUUAUUUGAUCUUAAGAUGAAUGAGCAUGAUGUAUGUCUCACAGAUUAUGCGACUACGCACACAAUUCUUUGAGAUAAAAGAUAUUUCAUCGAAUUGACAUUAAAAAAGCUAAUGUAAGUACCAUAUCUGGUACUACAAACUUAGUUGAAGGCUUUAGAAGAGCAAACAUAAUGUUGUCAAAUGGAAUUAGAUUCCAUAUAAAUGACGCUUUAUAUUCUAGCAAAUCUAGAAGAAAUUUGUUCAGUUUUAAAGAUAUCCGUAGAAAUGGAUAUCAUAUUGAAACUAUGAAUGAAGAUAAUAUAGAAUAUAUUUACAUUACUUCCAUUAUAUUUGGCUAGAAACUUAUAAUGGAAAAACUCUGGACUUUCUCCUCUGGGUUGUAUUAUGCAACUAUAAAGCCUAUUGAAUCAUAUGUUGUUGUGAACCAGAAGUUCAACGACCUAAAAGUUUUUGUCAUUUGGCAUGAUAGGCUAGGUCACCUAGGGUCUUCAAUGAUGCAUCGAAUAAUUGAACACUCAUAUGGGCAUCCACUAAAGAACCAGAAGAUUCUUUCACCCAAUGAAUACUCAUGUGUUGUCUGCUCACAAGGUAAAUUAAUAGUCAGAUCAUCUUUUACUAAAGUCAUAUCUGAGUCACCAGUAUUUUUAGAAAGAAUAUAUGGGGACAUAUGUGAGUCUAUCCAUCCAUCAUGUGGACCAUUCCAUUAUUUUAUGUUCUUAAUAGAUGCUUCUACUAGGUGGUUAUAUGUUUGUCUCCUUUCUACACGUAAUGUUGCAUUUGCUAGACUCCUUGCACAAAUAAUCAGAUUACGAGCACAAUUUCCAGAUUAUCCAAUUAAAACAAUACAUCUUGAUAAUGCUGGCGAAUUUACUUCUCAAAAAUUCAUUGACAAUUGCAUGUCAGUAGAGAUAAAUAUUGAGCAUCCUGUUGCUCAUACUCAUGCCCAAAAUCGUUUAGUAAAAUCAUUCAUCAAAUGUCUCUAAUUAAUAGCUUGACCAUUACUAAUGAAAACCAAAUUACCUACUUCUGCCUGGGGACAUGCUAUUAUGCAUGCUGCUACUUUAGUCCGUAUUCGACCUAUAACUUACCAUGAAUACUCUUCUUCACAACUUGUUCUUGGAAAACAACCAAAUAUCUCUCACUUACGAAUCUUUGGUUGUGCAGUAUAUGUACCAAUUGCACCUACACAACACACUAAAAUGGGUUCCCAACAAAGACUUGAGAUUGUAAGUUUUGAUUCUCCAUCUAUUAUAAGAUAUCUUGAACCUUUGAUAGGCGAUGCUUUUAUAGCCCGCUUUGUGGAUUGUCAUUUUAAUGAGAGUGUUUCCCGUCAUUAGGGAGGAGAAAAGUCGAUUCCUGAAGAACGAUGAGAAAUUAAUUAGAAGACAUCUACUAUGACCCAUCUUGAUCCUCAUACAAAUCAAUGUGAACUAGAAGUUCAAAUGAUCAUUCAUUUGCAAAAUCUUGCAAAUCAAUUACCAGAUGCAUUCAUUGAUACAAAGAAAGUGACAAAGUCAUAUAUCUCGACUACAAAUACUCUAGCACAGAUUGAUGUCUUGAUGUCCCUAUAGGACAAUUAACAAAUGAAUCUAAGAUACGCUUGAAGCAUGGUAGACCUGUCAGCUCAAAUGAUGUAAUUCCCUAGAAGAUGAGAACCCAAGAAAAACUUGGCACUCUAGAAGAGGCCAUCAAAAUGACUGAUUAGUUUAAAAUUGAUAAAUAUAUAACCCUAGAAGAGGCACAAAUAAUGCCGAAAGCCCCUGAAGACGCACAUAUUGAACAAAUGACGCUUUAUAUUCUAGCAAAUCCAAAAGAAAUUUGCUCAACUUUAAAGAUAUUCGCAGAAAUGGAUAUCAUAUUGAAACUAUGAAUGAAGAUAAUAUAGAAUAUAUUUACAUUACUUCCAUUAUAUUUGGCCAGAAGCUUAUCACGGAAAAACUCUCGGCUUUCUCCUCUAGGUUGUAUCAUGCAACUAUAAAGCCUAUUGAAUCAUAUGUUGUUGUGAACCAGAAGUUCAACGACCCAAAAGCUUUUGUCAUUUGGCAUGACAAACUAGGUCACCUAAGGUCUUCAAUGAUGCAUCGAAUAAUUGAACACUCACAUGGGCAUCCACUAAAGAACCAGAAGAUUCUUUUGCCCAAUGAAUACUCAUGUACUGCCUGCUCACAAGGUAAAUUGAUAAUCAGAUCAUCUUUUACCAAAGUCAUAUCCGAGUCACCAGUCUUUUUGGAAAGAUUACAUGGGGACAUAUGUGGGCCUAUCCAUCCACCAUAUGGACCAUUUCAUUAUUUUAUGAUCUUAAUAGAUGUUUUUACUAGGUGGUCACAUGUUUGUCUUCUUUCUACACGUAACGUUGCCUUUGCUAGACUCCUUGCACAAAUAAUCAAAUUACGAACACAAUUUCCAGAUUAUCCAAUUAAGACAAUACGUCUUAAUAAUGCUGACGAAUUUACUUCUCAAACAUUCAUUGACUAUUGCAUGUCAGUAGGGAUAAAUAUUGAGCAUUUUAUUGCUCAUACUCAUACCUAAAAUGGUUUAGCAGAAUCCUUCAUCAAAUGUCUCUAAUUAAUAGCUCGACCAUUACAAAUGAAAACCAAAUUACAUACUUCCGCAUGGGGACAUGCUAUUAUGCAUGCUGCAACUUUAGUCCUUAUUUGACCUACAACUUACCAUGAAUACUCUCCUUCACAACUUGUGCUUGAAAAACAACCAAAUAUCUCUCACUUACGAAUCUUUGGUUGUGCAGUAUAUGUACCAAUUGCACCUACACAACACACUAAAAUGGGUCCCUAACGAAGACUUGGGAUUUAUGUAAGUUUUGAUUCUCCAUCUAUCAUAAGAUAUCUUGAACCUUUGACAAGCGAUGUUUUUACAGCCUGUUUUGUGGAUUGUCAUUUUAAUGAGAGUGUUUUCUCGUCAUUAGGAGGAGAAAAGUUGAUUCCUAAAGAACAACGAGAAAUUAGUUGGAAGACAUCUACUAUGACCCAUCUUAAUCCUCGUACAAAUCAAUGUGAACUAGAAGUUCAAAUGAUCAUUCAUUUGCAAAAUCUUGCAAAUCAAUUACCAGAUGCAUUCAUUGAUACAAAGAAAGUGACAAAGUCACAUAUCCCGAUUGCAAAUACUCCAGCACGGAUUGAUGUCCCUGUAUGACAGUUAACAAAUGAAUCUAAGAUAUGUCUGAAAUGUGGUAGACUUGUCGGCUCAAAGGAUGUAACUCCCCAGAAAAGGAGAACCCGAGAAAAACUUGGCACUCUAAAAGAGGCCAUCAAAAUGACUGAUCAAUUUAAAAUUGAUAAAUCUAUAGCCUUAGAAGAGGCACAAAUAAUGCAGAAAGCCCUUGAAGAGCCACAUAUUGAACAAAAAGCCUCUCAAGAGAUACAUAUUAAACAAGAAACCCCUGAAGAGCCACAUAUUGAAUGAGAAGUUCCUGAUGAGGCACAGGUACUUGAAAAUUGUGAGAUCUCAAUAAGUUAUGUACACACGGGAGAAAAAUGGGAUCAAAAUAAUAUUAUUAUUAACAAUAUUUUUCCUUUCCAAGUGGCCUUUGAUAUCAUAAGAAAUGAUGAAGAUCCCAAACCACGAAAUGUGGAAGAAUGUUGACAUAGAAAUGAUUGGCCAAAAUGAAAAGAAGCUAUACAGACAGAGUUAAACCCAUUAAUAAAACGAGAAGUUUUUGGACUUGUAGUCUAAAUACUUGAAGAUGUAAAGUUUGUUGGGUACAAAUGGGUAUUUGUAUGAAAGCGCAAUGAGAAUAAUGAGAUCAUAAGAUAUAAAAUGCGAUCAGUAGCACAAGGUUUCUCGUAGAGACCUGGUAUUGAUUACGAGGAAACAUAUUUUCCCAUCGUGGACGCAAUCACAUUUCGUUUCUUAAUUAGUUUGGCAAUCUCAGAAGAACUGGAUAUGCAUUUCAUGGAUGUUAUUACAAAAUAUUUAUACAGAUCCAUGGAAAAUGAUAUAUACAUGAAAAUCCCUGAAGGAUUUAAAUUUCCAAAAUAUUUAUACAGCCUCGUAGCAUGUACUUAAUCAAGUUACAAUGAUCUUUGUAUGUAUUAAAGUAAUCUGGACGCAUGUGGUACAAUCACCUUAGCAAAUUCUUGCUAAAAGAAGGGUAUGUGAAUAACCCUAUAUGCCCAUGCAUCUUCAUUAAGAAAUCAAAAACCGAAUUUGCAAUUAUUGCAGUGUAUGUUGAUGACUUAAAUCUUGUUGGAACUCUUGAAGAGCUCAUAAGAACAACAAAUUACUUGAAAAAUGAAUUUGAGAUGAAAGGUUUUGGAAAAACAAAAUUUUGUCUCAACCUACAGAUCAAGCAUUUUCCAAAUGGAGUUUAAUAUAUCAAUCAACAUACAUUAAGAAAGUUUUGAAGCGUUUUUAUAUGGAUAAAAAGCAUCAUUUAAGUUCUCCAAUGGUUGUUCGAUCACUUGAUGUGAAAAAUGACCCAUUUCGUCAUUGUGAAAAAGAUGAACAGUUACUUGGUCCUGAAGUACCAUAUCUUAAUGCAAUUGGUACACUUAUAUAUCUUGCCAAUUAUACACGUCCAAACAUUCCUUUUUAUGUCAAUUUAUUAGCAAGAUACAACUCUGCUCCAACUCGAAGACAUUGGAAUGGUAUCAAACAUAUAUUGCGUUAUCUUCGUGGAAUCACUGAUAUGAGUUUAUUUUACUCAAGGGAAUCAAAACAACAAUUGCUUGAACAUACAGAUGCAGGAUAUCUUUCAGAUCCACAUAAAGGUAGGUCACAAAUAGGGUAUGUGUUUAAUUGCAAUGGUAUUGCUAUUUCAUGGAGAUCUGUCAAACAAACAAUGGUGGUCACAUCAUCAAAUCAUUUAGAAAUACUGACAAUUCAUGAAGCAAGUUAUAAAUGUAUAUGGCUAAGAUCUAUGAUCCAGCAUAUUCGGGAAUCAUGUGGACUUUUCUUUAUCAAAUGUGACCCGACAAUAUUAUUUGAAGAUAAUGUUGCAUUCAUUACACAAAUAACAGGGGGUUAUAUUAAAGGAGAUAGAACUAAUCACAUUUCACCAAAAUUCUUUUAUGCACAUGAACUCCAAAAGAGUGGUGAAAUUGAUGUGCAACAAAUAUGCUCAAGUGAUAAUCUAUGAGAUUUAUUUACAAAAUCAUUGUCAAUCUCAACAUUCAAGAAGUUAAUACACAAGAUUAAAAUGCGUCAACUCAAUGAUAUCAACACGAGGGGGAGUAUGCUUGUAAAAAGGUGUUAGUGUACUGUACUUUUUUUUUCUUUUAUCCAGGUUUUGUCCUACUGGGUUUUACUGGCGAGGUUUUUAACAAGGUAGUCCUAACAUACCAAGAAAAGAAUAUUGUACUAUUUUCUUUCGCUAGGUUUUUCUAUUAGGGUUUUUUACUAGCAAGGUUUUAAUGAGACAUAUUCUUUUAAUAUGGUGAUCAUCCAAGGGGGAGUGUUGUAAAUAUAAUGGUGAAUGACUACAUUGAUGGUUAUUUAUGAACUCCAUUUACUCAUCUUUAAGAUGAGUAAUGGGAGUUUAUAUUGUUAAGCCUAUAAAAGGCUUUUUACACCCCAUGUAAGAAGCAUCCCGAGCAGAAGAAAGAUAUUCUCUUCCUCUCAUUCUCUCUCUCUUUCUUUCAUUCUCUCAACAUUUCUUUUCUUUGAUUUCUUUCUUUUCUCUAUAUAUAUUAUUAAAGUAAUACAUAGCCAUCUCUACUUUUAUUUGAGUCACAUUUAUUCUCAUUUUACAACAAUAAGAUAACUAUCAAAGUAUUUACUACAAAAAAUGAAUUGUAAAUGUAAAGUCAAGGUCAUAAAAUAUGCUCUCAUUAAACAUGAACAAAUGAGGGAAAAAAUAUUUAAAAUUAAUAAUAAGUUAAUUAUUUCGACUUAAUAUUAGAGGCUAUUUUUAUUUUAAGAUAUCGUAUUAAAUUAUUUAGGGGUUCUUUGAUUAAAAGAGUAAUUGAAAACCCAGAUUUUGAAAUUUAAUUGAUACCGUUUUUUGUUCAUAAAAAUAUCCUUACUUUUUUUUUUUUUGGUAAAAAUAAUCAUUUUUUAACUACAUGUAAAUACUUGAAAUUGUAAAAAAUAUUUCUAUUAAAAAUAUGUUACUUUUCAAAUAAAAAUAUAAAAAGGGUUAGAUUUAUAAAUAUAAGACUUAUUUCAUAUUUUAAUCAAUUAAUUCUUAUUUUAGCAUGCUUAUUAAUAAGGGGAGUAAGUUGACCCACCAAAUAUCCUCUUAAAAAUAAUUUAAUUAACUUAUGUUCGCUCUACCGCAUCACUUUUAUUUGGUUUUUAUUUUCUUUCCUUUUAUCCAUCCACUUCAACUUCGACAAUUCUAGAAUUCCUAUCAUUUAAAGUUAAAUGUAUCCUCUUUUCAUUUCCUUAAUAAUUCAAAGAAUUAAUUUUGGUUUUUUAUAUUUUAUAAAUUUUAUUUAUUAUUUUUUUCCAUUUUUUUUUCAUGAAUUCUUCCUAAUAUUCAUAAUUAUGUACCUUCCUUUUUCAUCUCUCCAUUGCUUCCAUCGCUUAAAAUUACAAUAUUGAUCAUUGACUCGAAGAAGUUCCAAGACAUAUUGGAAUCUUGAUUUGAUAACAAAUUGAUAUACAAAAUAAAAUAAUUAUAAAUUUGAAAAAAUUAUAAAAAUAUUAUAUAAAUUAUAAAAACGUAGAUAUAAUUAAAUAAACUUAAAAUAUUAAUAAGACAAUUUUUUUUGGAUUCAAUUCUCAAUAUGCCAUAUAAAUACAUUUAAUUUAUCAUUAAAUCUCGUCCCAAACCGUCCAUAUCAUUUUGGUACUCAAUCAUUUAAUUUAAUUUAAUUUAAUAUGCUACCAUCAAUGUAAAUUUUUUCACUUUACCAGUUUGAGCUCCCAAUCUUCCACCCUUGCACACCGCCGUUGCCGUCAAGACCCACAACACGACACCACCUGCAAUUGCAAUUUGCAACUAUGCAAGACCCAACACUGAAGGGGAGCAAUCUGACUGUGAGGGGUUGCUUGGCCGACGUCAACGUUGUAAGAUUCAGUCCACUGGACGAGUUACCACCGCCGACACCAAAGCUUCACUCUACGGUAAUACUCAAUUUUUAGGAAAAUCAGGUAAGUAAAUCCUAAAUCAUGCCCUCAAUGGUUUCUCAUCUUAUUUCCGAACAGGUCAGGGGUUUUGGGUUUUUUCUUCUUCGCCUUCUUUGAUCUUCUGGGUUAAAAGCUCCAAUUUCAGAAUCAUGGGUGUCUGCUUUUGAAUGGGGAAUCUCUAAUUUUUAUUUUAUUUUUGAAAAUGUUAUGAUAUUUUAUUGUGAUGGGAAAGAAAAAGAGAAUGUUUGAAAAUUUUUCUGUAAUCUAACCGAGUUAACUCGGAAACUCAGACGAGUCAGCCGAGUCUUAACAAUUUCGUGCCAAGUUUGUGCAUUAUAUCGUAUCUGGUGUCGGUCUCGUCGCGUCAGGUGUUUAGGCGGAUACGACUCGACCGAUUUGAACCAGACCCUGCUGAUACUUUGAACCCUGACUUCUUCAAAAUGGAUGCUUCUUCUUCUUCUCAACAUUGGAGGUAUGAUGCCUUCUUCAGCUUUAGAGGAGAAGACACCCGCAAAAGCUUCAUUGCCCAUCUCUAUAAGGAGUUGUGUACCAAAUGAAUCAACACUUUUAUCGACGAUGACAAACUUAGGCGAGGCGAAGUCAUAUCUCCAGCACUUCUUACUACUAUUGAAAACUCAAUGUUUUCUAUCAUUGUUUUAUUGGAAAAUUAUGCCUCUUCUAGCUGGUGCUUAGAGGAGUUGGUGAAGAUACUAGAGUGUAUGAAAACCAGGGGACAGAGAGUUGUCCCCAUUUUCUAUAAUGUGGAUCCAUCUGAUGUGCGGAAACAAAGGGGAAAUUUUGGAAAAGCCUUGACUGAACAUGAAGAAAAUUUGAAGGAAAAUAAGAAAAGGGUAUAGAUCUAGAAGGAUGCUCUUGUUGAAGUUGCAAAUUUAUCUGGCUGGGAUUCGAGGAAUAAGUACUUUUCUAAAUCAUUAUUGUUAUGUUAACAUUAACAAUGUUGCCCACUUUAAUGCUCUUUGCCAAAUUCUCCCAUUAAUUAUUAAGAAAAAAAGGUUAUACAGAUACCAUGUUAAUAUUGUGUUAUGAGAGGAGUAGGUUUGUAGAAUACUGCUUUUUCAGUUUCUUAUUAAGAUGUCAUAAACUUGAAUAUAGGCAUCCUUUCUAAGGAAUUUAAUUUCUGUUUACAUACAAGACCUCCAUACAUGGAAUUCCCCAUUCUCUUUUUCAAUGCAUAUAGUUGAUCAUUUGAAAGAAGUUUGUCAUAUUGGAACUAUAUUUAUUAGAGAAAUUGGAUUAAUUAUACUACGAUGAUCACUGUGUUAAUUUAUACUUAUUUCCUCGUCUACCUAUUUUUUUGAAAUGCACAAACCUAGGUAUCAUAUCUUAUUCACUUUAUUUUAGUUUCCUUUUAUGUUGCCAUGGACUUAUUAUAUGUUUUUCAAAUGUGGCAGGUAUGAGCCUAUGCUCAUCUAGGAAAUUGUCAUAGAUAUUUUGAAUAGAUUAUUUCAUAUAUCCUCAAGUGAUGCCAAGAACCUGGUUGGAAUAAAUUCUAGCUUACAAGAAAUGGAAUUGCUAUUAUGUAUUGAGUCUAGAGAAGUUCGAAUGGUAGGAAUUUGGGGUAUGGCAGGCAUAGGUAAAACAACUCUUGCCAAAGCUAUUUGUCAGCAUAUCUCUGGUCAUUUUGAAGCUUGCUCCUUUCUUGAAAAUGUAGGAGAUGAUUUGGAGAAACGAGGGUUCCUUGGAUUAGAGGAAAAAUUUCUUUCUCAACUAUUGGAGGAUAGAAAUCUAAACAUUAAAGGACUCAGUUCUAUAAAAGCGAGGCUUCAUUUCAAAAAGGUUCUCAUUGUCAUUGAUGAUGUGAACAGUUCAAAAAUAUUGAAAGUAUUAGUCGGAAAGCAUGAUUGGUUUGGUCAAGGAAGCCGAAUCAUUGUAACAACAAGAAAUAAGCACUUGCUAGUUAUGCAUGGAGUAGAUGAGGUAUAUGAGGUUAGGAAAUUAAAUAAUGAUGAUGCUCUUGAGCUCUUCAGUCAUUAUGCCUUUAAACAAGUCCAUCCCCAAGAAGAUUAUGUGGAGCUGUCCAAGUGUGUAAUGGUUUAUGCUCAAGGGCUUCCAUUGGCUCUUAAAGUUUUAGGUUCAUUUUUAUUUAGCAAGAGCAAGCAUGAAUGGGAAAGUGAACUGGCUAAACUAAGAAGAAUUCCUAAUAUGGAAAUUCAAGAUGUGCUACAAGUGAGUUUUUAUGGGUUGGAUGACAAAGAGAGGGAUAUAUUUCUAGACAUUGCAAGUUUUUUUAAAGGAGAGGACAAAGAUUAUGUUAUGAAAAUCCUAAAUGGUUGUGGUUUCUUCCCAGAUAUUGGAAUAAGAGUUCUCAUUGAGAAGUCCCUCAUUACUAUUUUAGACAAUAGGUUGAUGAUGCAUGAUUUGUUACAAGAAAUGGGCAGAGAAAUUGUUCGUCAAACAUCCCUUAAAGAACCUGGAAAACACAGCAGGUUGUGGUUUCAUGAAGAUGUUUAUCAUGUAUUGACAAAAAAAGGGUAAGAGCCAAAUACAUUAAAUUCCUUUUUCGUGGGUAAGGUGUAGUUGAAAGAUAUGUAAGGUUGGGAAUAUAGUUUUUGUUUAAGUAAUAAUACAUCUAUAUAACUUUAAUAAGUUUUUAUGCAUUUUGCAUGCUUCACUUAUCCAUUGGCUUUUAUCAAUGUUAAUUAGGCAACUGAAGAAGUUGAAGCAAUAUUCCUUGACUUGUCUAAUUUAGAAGAAAUACUCUUUACUACUGAAGCAUUUGCACGAAUGAAUAGACUUAGAUUGCUCAAAGUCUAUAAAUCUCAAGAUCCCAGAGAUGAAGUAUGUACUUCACAAAAGGAAGAGUGCAAGGUUAUGUUUUCAAGGGACUUUAAAUUCCAUUAUGAUGACUUGAGAUAUUUGUAUUGACAUGGAUACCCUUUCAGAUCAUUGUCAUUUGAUUUUAACUCAAAGUGUCUUGUUGAUCUCAGCAUGCCUUAUAGCCACAUUAAACAACUUUGGAAAGGGGUGAAGGUAUGAUUAUGAUUUGUUUUUGUUGUUUUUUAGACAAGUCAUUGAAAACUUAUUUGUUCUAUCCACUUUCUUUGUUACAGGUUCUUGACAAGUUAAAAUUCAUGGAACUCAGCUCCAAGCAGCUAACUGAGACACCGGAUUUCUCAGGGAUCACCAAUCUUGAACGGUUGGUUUUUGAAGAUUGCACACAUUUGCAUAAGAUCCACCCAUCUCUGGGAGGUUUAAGCAAGCUCAUUUUCUUGAGUUUGAGAAAUUGCAUAAACCUUAGGUAUUUUCCGAGCAGUGGUAAGUUGGAAUCUCUUCAAAUCCUUAUUCUCUCAGGCUGCUCAAAACUUGAGAAGUUUCCAGAGAUCCGAGGGUACAUGGAACAUCUAUCAGAGCUCUAUUUAGAUGGGACUGCUAUAAAGGAAUUACCUUCCUCUAUUGAGUAUGCCAGUGGGCUUGUUCUAUUGGAUCUUAAAAACUGCAAAAAGUUCAGGAGUUUUCCAACAUGUAUUCAUAAUUUGAAAUCUCUUGAAACCCUGAUUUUUUCUGGUAGCUUGGAAUCUGAAGAUGUUCAAGAGAACUUUGGGAACCUAGAAUGGUUCAAGAAGCUUUAUUCAAAUGGAACUGCUAUAAGAGGAAUGCCUUCUUCUAUUUCCCUCUUUAGAAACCUUGUAGUAUUAUCCUUUGGUGGAUGUAGUGGACCACCAUCUCUUUCAUGGUCAUUGCCUAGAAGAAGUUCACAUUCCAUUGAUUUCCUCCUGCUGUCAGACUUAUGCUCCUAACAGCACUUAGAUCUAAGUCACUGCAAUCUAUCUGAGGAAGCAGACCUUAGUAAACUUGGUCUCUUAUCUUCACUGAAAAAACUAAAUUUAAGUGGGAACAACUUUGUUAGUUUGCCUUCAAAUGUGUUGAGUCGACUUUCUCAGCUGACAAGACUUGACCUACAUAAUUGCAGAAGCCUGCAAGCAUUGUUAGAGCUCCCAUCAAGUAUACAAUCAAUAGAUGCACAUAAUUGCACAUCAUUAGAAAUCAUCCCAAACCAAUCAAUUUACAAGUCGCUCUACCAUGCCUCAUUUAUGAAUUGUUUCAAACUGAUGGAGUAUCAAAGCAGCCUUGAAACUUUGUUCCUAACAGUGGCAAUGGAUGCUACCCAGACAGAUUUUCAUGUGAGUUUGUUCUCUUCUAUUGUCUAUCAUUUUCAUUUAUCAACUGUUACCUAGUUUUUAGAACUAUUUUCCCCCCUUCUCCUUAGUGGCACCAUAUUGUAAGUAAAGAGUGAUAAUAUGAAGUUCUAUAUCGUAUAAUGCCAAGUAUUCAUUAAAGUAGAGAAUAAAAUUAAGGAACUAGAGUUUCAUCGCUCUCAACAUCAUCAUGAUUUUCAUUGUACAACUUUCCUUAUCCCAGCCAGUUCCAUUCAACACUAUUCUCCCUGGAAGUGGAAUACCAGAUUGGAUUGGACAUCAGAGCACAGGGUGUGAAGUAAAUAUUAAGCUAUCUCCAAAUUGGUUUAAUUCUAACUUCCUGGGUUUUGCUCUUUCCGCUGUCAUUGAUUUCAAUGAUAUGCCUCAUGCCAACCAUGCUGAUUUGUCCUUCCAAAUUUGUACCUCCCUGAUUUCCAAGUCUGGACUGGUAUUUUUUUAUGAUGCUUUCUGUGAUCAUACUCUUGGACAUGCAUUAAUUGAGCCAGACCAUGUGUGGCUGGCCUAUGCACCAGUUUCUAGCUCCAUCAAGUGGCAUGAAGUGAACCACAUUCAGGCUUCAUUUCUUAUGAUCACCCACAUGCUCCCUGUGAUUAAGAGGUGUGGGGUUGGUCUAAUGUAUAGUAGGGAAGAUGUGAAAUAUGACAGUCUAAAAAUUAUCCAACACAUCUCUACUCUCUCUCAAAUUUCAACUCUCCUUCAUGAAAUUGAUGAGGGGGAACCCAGUGCAAGUGGUUUCUCUAAGCAGGAAUCAGAAUCUAGUGAUUACUACACUGAUGAGGGGGAAUCUUAGUGGAAGUGCCCUCUUUGAAGUUAUGGGUGUAGAUUCACUCCUGAAGAUUUGAAGACACUGAGAGAAGAUUCACUUCCGCAGAUACUGAGAGAAUCCACAGAUACCGCCAUUCAACUUAAGGGCAAUUCCAGUCAAAAUGACAUCUAUUCCUUGGCACCUGGUUCAUUUGCUGCAUUGAGGUCCAUUUUGGAUCUUUCUUCUUGGUAUGCCACUCUUGUUUCUUAACAUAAGCCUUCAGUAGGAAUUGAAAUUUAAUUUAGCUAAUGGAUGACGUAUGUAUAUAGGUCAUUAGUCUUAUGUUUGCUUGAGAUUUUAACUGAUGAAUUGAAUCACAAUAUUUUGGAGAAUCUAGAAUGUUUUCUAUAUUGUUGUGAGGUGGGUAGAAUUCAUGUGCUUUUCUAAUCAUCUGUAUAAUAUCUUGGAAUAAAAGUCAAGCAAACUAAAAAGGUGUUUAUUUUUUCAAGAAGACUGUGCAAAAGAAAUUUUCAAGAAGUUUGACAUAAAUAUUUGUAAUUUGAUUAACAAACUAAUAAAAUCUAGAGUUAAAGUAUAAAGACAUGAAAGAGAAACCAUGGAUUUAAUAAAUAAAUAAAUAAAUAAAAGCUUAGUAGGAAGCCAAUGCUAUUUGACUAGUACAAGGUCAGACUCUUUUUUAGCAUAUAAACUUGCUAGUCAUUAUAUGAAAACACUAAUGGUGACUUGCAUGAAAACUGCCAAAUGAAUUAUUCACUACAUCAAAAGUACACUUGAUUAUGGUUUAUAUUAUCCACUCUUUAACAAUUUCAAGUUUGUUGGAUAUGGUGAUGGUGAUUGGGAUAGAGAUUAAACGAUCGAAAGAGAAUAAUUGACUCUAUGUUUUUUUAUGUGUGGGAGAUGUUACGUUCACUUAUACAUCAAAGAAACAGCCUAUUAUGAUCCUUUUAAGCGGAAUUUAUUUUAACAACAGUGCAUAUAUAUCAUGCAAAUUGGCUUAAAAAUUUGUUGAUUGAGCUUAAUUUAUCACCACAAAAACCAAAUUAAUCAAUGAUUAUUGCAUUAUCAGAAAAUCCAAUUUUUUAUGAUCCAUACAAACAUAUAGAUACAAGAUAUCAUUUUUUUUUUAGAUAGUCAUGAAGAAAAAAAAAGUACAAUUAAAAUUUGCAAGUCCCAUGAUCAAAUUGCGAAUAUUUUACAAAAGUUUGAAGAUUUUAGAACAUUAUGGAUGUUAUUUGAAAUUAUAAAUCAAGUUUAAGAGGAUAUAUUGAAAUCUUAAACUUAAUUUAAGAAGUUUUUUUUUUUUUAAAAAAAAUUGAAUUAGAUCUGGUUUUUAAAAUUCAAAGAGUAUUUUAUGUGAACGGUUCAUUGAGGUUUUAUAUUGUUGUUGUUAGGAGUUUCUAUUUUGUUAGGUAUGAAUAUCUAUUCAUAAGAAAUUAUCAACUCUAAUUUAUAUAACAAUCUGUUUUUUAGUAACUUUAUAGAUAGGGGCUCUGGGCAAAUUUCUUUGAAAAGGUUGAGCAAGUAGAGACAGUAUCAAUCCUAGAUGAGCUUCAUGUAGAUUUAAUAUCAUUCCUAUCAUAUUCAAUUUCACACUUAGUGAUUUAAUUUGUGUAAUUAAUUGGAUGAUAGAGAUCAUCAAUAUGUUGAUUUACUUCAAAAUGGAUUCAAGAUGGAUGCAAGUUUUUAUGAAUGGAUUUUUCAUGCUUUUCACUUAUUCUCUGAUCUUGAUUAAUAGGGAAAAAAGAGUUGAAGGCAUGUUCCUUGGCUUUUCUAAUUUAGGAGAGAUACAUUUACUGUUGAAGCCUUUUCAAAGAUGAAAAAAAAAAAAUUAGAUUGCUCAUUUUUCUUUGUAUUAGGAAAGACAAACCCACUCUCACAAUCAAGUUCCACAAACUGAAUCAAGUAUGCAUGCAAUAACACUUUCCUAACAAUUUGUAAAUGCAUUCACAUGCAAAUGCUUCAACACUCCUCAAAAUGAAUUCAAAAGAACAAUUAUCUUUUUAACUAAUUUCAUUUUACUACAAGAUAUCAUUAAUCGAAAUGAACAGAAAAAUUAUUGAAAAUAUUCAAUGGAGAAUCACACUUAUUUCAGCUCAUAUUUCUUCCAUUCACCAUAUAUGCCCAAGUAACUAAUGAUAUAAAAAACUAAAAAUAAAUCAAAGAGUAUAGUGAGAGAAAGAGACAAUUGACACCGAAUUUUAAUGUGGAAAACCUCCGAAAAGAUAAAAAACCACGAGCCUAUAAUCGAUUGAAAACAUCUACUAUGAAGAAUAAAAACUGAAUACAAGGUUUUACCUAACUCAAACCUACUAAUCCUUCUCGGACCACUUGACUAGUACCUUUCACUUUUAGCUUCUUACUUUUUUCUUUUGGAGCACACUUAGAUUCCACACUAAGCUCGAUCUCGGCCUCUUCUUGAUUGAAUCCACACAAGAAGUGAAAGAAUUUUUACCCGAACCCAAAUAGAUUAGAAAUUGAGAUAUGAAUGAAUGAAGAAUCAACCCAUUUUUUUUCAAGAAAAUCCAUUAUAAAUCAGUUUGAAAAACACUAGGAAAAUUGGAUUUUCUUGGCAACCAAAAAACCUAAAUUAAGAAAGGAGAGGAGAAAAAAAAAACAAAGGGAAUGAUUGUUGCUCUAGCUCUCUAUAUUGAACAGGAAGUAAGUUUUGGGUUUUUAAAUGAAGGAAACCUUUGAUCAAACGGAUGAGAUUUCAUCAAAAAAGUAUAAGUUGGAUCAAUCUUGGAACAAGACAUUUUGAACACCUAGUAAAAGAAGGCUUCCUAAACCUUCCUAACUCCUCAAAAAAAAAAAAAAAAACAUUUAAAUACAAUGGUUGAUUCAAAUUCAUCCAACUCCAACCUCAACUACAAACCUUGGUCUCUUGAAAAAUUCAACAAAUUGAUCUCCAUUAGCCAAGUAGUCCAUAAAAGGAUUGGAAAAAUUAAGUUAGGAUGCACUUAGGAAUUUUGUCUGGAAUUGCCAACCUAGCUAAACACACACAUUUCCCAUCCAAGUCUCCUUCUAGUCUUGAAACUUUCCAUGUUGCUGACAUCCUAGUGGUUAUGGAUCUCAACUUGGCAACUUCCUACUCUCCCAAUCAAGUUCUACAACACCGAAUUAUCACCUUGAUUUACUGCUUGAGUAUACCAAAUAAUUUAUUUCAUUCUUUAUCCUUAGGAUCUAUAUAUUUGAUUCUUCUUUUCUCGUUUGUAUUUUUCUACAUAAAUUUUUGUACAUAAUAUCAAUGAUGAACUUACAAAUGUUGUUUCAAGAGUCAAAUAAUCAUAGAAAAUGACCUAGCCCAAAACCAAACAGACAAGAAACAAAAAACCAGAAUAGAAUACUUAUUGGAAUAAGUUGGUUGAGAUGUGACAAGACACUAUCCUUAAAGUAGAGCCGCCCUCCUCGGGUGUCAACCUCGGUGUAGUAGGAAACCAGUGUCCUAUCUCCAAAAUUCAACAGCCAGAGAAACCUCGACUUCAUGUGCACACCAUGGACAAGGAAUGCUACAGCUCAUAACUAUAAGAAGAUAAUUCCUCCAGUUAAAGGAUGAGAGUGGUGCGGUGUAAGAUGGCUGCAGUAUGGUUGUGAGGCUGCACUAGGGCUGUUGUAAGGGAGUCUCUGGUUACAACAGGUGCAGCAGGAAGCAAUGGGGGAACCGGGUUGCAGCAGAAAUAAAUGGAGACUGUGGUUGCUGCAAGAGAGACCACAAUAUGAGAGCAAGAGAGAAUCGAAUAAAAAACUCUUAAGGGAGCACGACCUUAGAGUUUCCUUAGACUAGGGUUGCACAUGAAUAAAGUUUCAAUUUUAAGGAAUUUUGUACUAGCAACUAAAAAAUUCUUUGGUUUUCUCAAGUCAAUAUAGAACUGGUUUUCUUUCAUACUCUUCCAAUGCAUUUUGUAGCGGUUUUCAUCCCAUAACCAGUUAUUUUAGAGCUAGCCUAACAAUCCUUGACUGUUUGAUGUUUUCCCUUAUUUUUUAUAUGUUUUUGUAGAUGUUACUUUUAUUCUUAAAUGAAAAGUAUGACCUUAAGUCUAGCCAUAUCAUAUUGGAAUAAAUAAAGCAAUGGAAAAAGUUCAAAGGUAUAUGGAUUUUCCAUCCUUUGUCCGCAUUUUUCUUGAAGAGUUGAAGGGUGAUAUAGUGCAUCAAGUUAUUUGCAAGGGCUGGCUUGAUCCUCUUUCACAGGGAUCCUAGAUGAGGAAACCCUAGGAGAGGUAUCGAUUCCAUCCAUGUAUGAUCCAUACUAGAUAUAAUGAUCAACUGACUGCCUAUUCUACCUCCUUUACAUUCUUGACAACCUAUCUUUUCCUCACUAGAGUUUUUCAGUGGCAUAUUUUGGUCCUUUUCCCUACUACUUUAGAAAAAAAUGAGCCACUGGUUCAAGUACAAGAUACUAUCAUUCCUCUUAGAGCUAUAUCCUCUCCCACAACGUAAGUGGAGCAUGCAUAGAGAAGUUAGAUUUUUCUAUUCCAUUGUUUUGACCAAUUUCAAAUUUGAGGUUGGUUGAGGGGACUAAAAAUGUCAUAUUUGGCCUAAAUUAGAGUUGAACCUCAAGGUAUGGACGCCUCAUUUUGUAGUCGAAGACUUGGCGUCUCUUUCCCAUUAGAAAGAUGCCCAUUUUGUUCAUUCUCAUAGUUUUAGAUUUCCAUGUUAUUUUUAUGUUUUAACUUACAGAUUAGCUUAGAAUUUCAUUUUCUAUUGAAGUAAGCUUGUUGCAACUAUGUUUGGCUACACUUUAAUUCUCUCCAUCAUAAGUACUCUUUUUCUUGAUAUCUACUCGAUGUGUUUUUGUUGUUGGUUUUCAUAUCUACAAGCUUUUAUAAUUUCGUUAUUCAGCUAGAUCUCUUGUGCUAUGGAGAGGGGUCCUUAAAGGGUAAACUACUAUGGUUAUCUUGUAACAAACAUGUAGUUGUCAAUGCAUGGAAGCUUAAAUUUUUGGUUUGUAGAUUUUGAUAGGUCCCAUGUCACAUUACUGUUUUAAAUUUUGGAAUUAUUAUGAUGCAAUUUAGGUGCUAGGGUUUUAAUUCGUUCAUCCAUGUGUGGUUACUUCAUUUUAUGAAUCAAAGAUUUGAGUUGAAGAUAGAGAGAUUUUUCAAGGCAAAAUUAUUAUGCAAAACAAAAAUAUAAAAUUUGUACAUUAAGCCCACAAUGUUUGUGGAGCUACAACUGUAGGUGUCCAUCCAUCAUAAAACCAUCUCCUAAUUCAAGAAACUAAAUAAGUACUUACACGUAAAUUCAUCCACAAAUGAAGUAAAUGAAGAUAAAAAAAGCUUACAAAUAGAGUUAAAAGAUGAAGGAAAACAUCCUAAGCAAGACUACGUUGAAAGGAAGUAAAACCUAAUCUAAGCUAAAAUAGGAAGAAAAAUAAAAAAGCCUACCCCUUACUUGAGCUACAAAAUGACUUAACAUUUCUUGCACCCGGCCCUCACAAUACUCCUACCCUCCCUAUUCAUAGUUUUUUGGACCUCUAAAUUUUUUGAAAUUUUUAAUUUUUAAUUUAUCUUUUACUUCACUCGCUAAUAAUUUUGUGUAAAAAGGAUCGGUGGACUCUUUUUUUUUUCGUUUUUAAUAUCCUCACAUUUCUUGUUCCUCUUCACGUUCCUUAUACUCUCCUCAAAUUUUUUGUAUCCCUAAAUUUUUUCAAAAUUUUAAUUAAAUUUUUUAUUUUCACUUCAUUAGAUGAUAAUAUUCGAUAAAAAGAACCUGAAAUUGAAACAAAUAAUGUUUUAAAAAAUUACAAGAUUAAACUAUUAAGAAAUUCGUGGUAUACAAAAAAUAUGAUGAGGGUAUGAGAAAUGUAAAGGUAAGAGAUUUUUUUUUUCAUUUAUUCUAUACUCACAUUUCUUGUACCACCCUCCUCACAUUUUUGUAUCUUCUAAAUUUUUUGAAGUUUCUAAGUUUUUUUAAUUUUGAAUUUUUUUUUUCACUUCCCUUGCCGAUAAUAGUGUGUAAAAACACUAAUUACACUUGCAAUUGAAGUAAAUAAUGUUUGAAAAAAAAAAUUAAAAGAUUAAAAUAUUAAAAAAUGGGUUGAGGUACAAAGAAUGUGAGAAGAAUACAAAAAAUGUGAGGAUCUUCAUAUUUUUCGUAUCUUCCUCAUAUUCUUUGUAUAUUAUAAAUUUUUUGAAAAUUUUAUUUUUUAUAUUUUUUUCUCAUUUUAAUUGACAAAAAUACGUGUGAUGAUUUCAGUUGUUUUUGGAAUUUAUGAAAAUAAUCUCCAAAAAAUUCAAAGAUUAAAAUAAUUAAAGGUUAUUAUACAAUUAUGAAUUUUCUUUAUCAUAAAUUUAUCAUUUUUGUAAAAGUUUAUCAUUUCACAAAAAUAUUUCCCCCAAAUUUUCUUUAUUUUACCACUUGAUAAAAAAAUUCUAAAAAAGAUUUUAUAUAAUUGGUUAUUAUUAAAGAUCAUAGCAGUGUAUUAUGGUGCAUGAGAUUAAUUCCCUUGGCAAAGAAUUGAUGGUUUUUUUAAUUGCCUGCCAUGUGUCUUAAUCUUAUUGGCUGGAUAUGGUACGGAAAAGUAAAUUUCUGGACCUUUAUAAUAUGGUUAAAACUAUUAAAUUAAUUAUUAUUUUAAUGUUGAUGUUAGAUGUCAUCAUUUCAUAGUGAUAUGCUUUUCUUCUGGGGCAAUAGCUUUCACACGGAGUUGAUUUUCAGGUCUUUACGUUAUGUCGGCAGCGCUGAAAUUUCCGGCUCCUUUCGCAAUUUUUUGCCGAGGCGACUUCGCGUGGACUCUAGCUUUCACACGGAGUUGAUUUUCAGGUCUUUCCGUUACGGUAGCAGCGCUGAAAUUUCCGCCUCCUUUCGCAAUUUUUUGCCGAGGCGACUUGGCGUGGACUCUUCAUAUUAUUUCACUUCUCCUUGUGUCUUUCCUAUAUGUAUCUUUCUAUUUCUUAAACGACCCUUUGCCGGAGUCGACUCGUCAACUCAAUUGAAGCUUGGUUUGGAUUCUGUAAGUUUUCACUCUGAUGAGGUCUUUAGAUGGGUUUCAUUCAUGGUCAUAUUAUACUAUUUUACCUGUAACUUGUAGAGAAGACUUCAUGAUUGGUUUUGAGAGUUCUGUUUGAGUUCCGAAUAUUUCAUCAACAGCAACUAUUUGACAAGAUGGGAGUUUUGUACAAAAUUUUGGGAAGUUCUUUAUACAAAAUUUCGAUUUUUCUUUUCAGAAAAUUUUUCCUUUUUUUAAUUUUUUAAUUUUAAAGAAUUAUGUUUGGCUGUCCUAUUUUUUAGUUUCAAGAAGAAAAAAAUCAUUGCUCUUAUUGAUAUUUUUGAUCUUGCAAACACCAAAUCAUACGGGGAGCAUAAAGUAGUUUCAAUGGUUUGUGAAAAAGAGUUCGACUAAAAUAAAAUUUUAAAAUUAUGAAUAUAUAAUUACAGACUAAAAUAAAUUAAAAUCCAAAAGUCAGACCUACCUAAGGGCCUCCAAAAAGCCCACGGCCCAUGGCCCAGGCCCAAGCCCGGCCUGAGCCCAUUUCUGGAUGGGCCGGGCUAUGGGCCCCAAUUUAGGCCCGGUCUGGCCCGACGGGCUGGCCUGCCCAUAGGCCCGCCACUUAAAUAUAUAUAUAUAUAUAUAUAUAUAUAAAAUAUUCAAGAAAUAGAAAAGACUACAUUAAUAAAAAUAUUCAUUGCUAACUAUUUUAUUCAUUGAAUAUAUACAUUACAUUUGAAAAUGUGGGAAAAGUUUACAUUACUACAAAAUAAAUACAUCCCAACUAGAUUGGCAUCUACUUAUUUGUCAAUCAUUUGUACUUGUCAACCACAAAAAUAAAAAUAAAAAUAUGACAUACAUUUAGUAAAAUAUUUUAAUCAUUAUCUCUUGACGGUGAUGGCGAACUAUCGCAAAUCCAUGAAGAUCUUGAUGAUUUUAGUUUUUCCAUAUCGACAAGCAUAUUUUCUUCUUGAAAAGAAUCAAAUAUCAUUUUAUCUGCUAUUGCCCAGUCUUUCACACAUAUAUUUGCUUCAAUAGAAUCCGGCGCUAAGCUGCAUCGUUUAUCACUAACUACUCUUCCACCUGCACUAAAAGUAGCUUCUGAUGCAACUGUACUCACAGGAAUUGUUAGUACAUUACGAGCAAUGAUAGAAAGUAUAUGAUAUUUGUGUUGUUGUGAUUUCCACCAUAUUAAAAUAUCAAAAUCUUCAUCAUCUUCAAAUGAAAUUAAAUCAAUAUUGAGAUAUCUAUCUAAAUCAGUUGUGUUGUUUGGAGAACUAUUUGUUGCCUUCUUUCGACUUUUUAACAUUUCUAGAGCUCCUUUAUAAAAGGAUGAAGAGCUUGUAGAUGUAGGUGGUAAUUUAAUAGAACUAAUAUCAGUACCAUAUUUUUCUUUAUAAUAGUUAUAUAAAUUAUAUAAUAAUGAAUUUAUUUCAUUUUUAAUUUCUUCAAUUUUUAUUUGGUCAUUAAAAUAAAUAAUUGUUAACCAUUCAUCCAAAGUUUCAAAUUUCAAUCUAGGGUCCACAAUUAAACCAAGAUAAAAAAUUAAAGGUAUUUCUCCCCAAUAUUUUCUAAAUUUUUCUAUCAUUGCAAAUAUUGCAUCAUUAAAUAUAUCCAAAUUUAAAUAUUUUUGAAGUACAAUAAAAAUAUUAGUUAUUUGCAUGACAACUCGGUUUGAAGAUGGAUAAUAUACAUCACAAAUUUUUUUUGUUGAAGUAUCAAAUACUUCAAAAAGAUCUCUUAAAAGAUCUGCAAUAUGUCAAUCAUAAUCAUUUAAUACAUCAAUAUCUGUUUUACAAUCAUUGCUAAUUAAUUGUAUUUCAUAUAGUUCUACCACUUUUCUAUAUUUUAUAAUAGUUUGUAAAAGUUUAUAAGUGGAAUUCCAUCUAAUGGGCAUAUUCAAAUUUAUAUUUCUUUUUUUCAUAUUUAACAUUUUACAACAAUAAAAAAAUAAUUCAUGUUUUGCUUGAGAACUAUUAAGACCCGCAACAAUGCCUCCAAUUUUUUAUAAUGUAUCAUCAAUGUGUUUUAAUCCAUCUUUUACAAUUAAAUUUAAAAUAUGUGCACAACCACGCACAUGAAAUAUUUUACAUUGAUCUUCUUUUAUUUGUCAAUAUCGUUUUAAUCUGCUGCAUCAUUAUUAGAAGCAUUAUCUAAUGUUAUUGUAAAUAUUUUAUCACGAAUGUUAAAAUCUAUAAUUUCAUCAUUUAUUAAAGAUGCUAUAUUUUUACCAUUAUGUGGAGCAUUUAUUAUUUUAAAUGAAAUAAUUCUUUUAUUUAAUUUCCAUUCAUUAUCAAUAUAAUGAGCAGUUAUACAUAAAAAACCACUGUGAGUUAAAGAUGUCCAAAUAUCAGAUGUUAAACAAAUUCUUCCUUCAAAAUUUGCAAAAAAAAAAUUUUAAUUUUCUUUUUGUGUUUCAAAUUUUUUUAUAAGAAUUCUUUUAACUGUAUUUCUAGAGCAACCUUGAAACUGAGGAUUAACAGCUCGUUGCAUUGUUCCCGUAUAAUCAUGAUUUUCCAUGAAAUUGAAAGGUUGUUAUGCUCUUAUUAUAUAACCAAUCAUUUCUUCACGACAAUAAGAUUCAUCAUAAGAAAAUGUUUUUAAAUUUCCACUUUCAUCUUUACCUAAUUGCAUAUAAUUUCUAAUAUCUACAUUAUUUUUAGUUUUACAAUUUUCAUGAUACCUUUUUAAAUGACUUGUACCUGCAUUUGAGCCACCACUAAGAAGUUUGUUACAAAUUUUACAUUUUUUUUAUUUCUUUUUUAUUAUUUUCUAAAUUUAUUUCUAUUCUAUAAAAAAAUUCCAUAUAUUUGAAGUAAAUUUUUUGCUAUUACAUGCAUUAGAUGAAGAACAAGAACCACUCGCCAUAAUUAUAAUUAUUGAUAAAAUAUUAUGCUAAAAAUAAUAAAUGUAAAAUUAAAAUGUAACAAAUAAAUAAAAGAAAAGGUGAAGUAUGUUACUAAAUUGGAGAACCGAAGCAGAAAUUCCUUCAAAUUUGAACUCUUUGAACCACCAAUGCUUGUUUUUCACCACCAAUAAUAUUGAAUAAUUUGAGACAAAAUGCAAUAAUUGGAAAUAUUGUGGAAUGGGAGAGAGCUUAAGAGUUGAGAGAACAGAAAAAAAUUGAGGGUAUUUAAUAUUUAUAGGGAUUUAAAUAUUAGGAUUUAAUUUUUUUUUUUUUAAAUGUCAAGACCGUUCAACAAUCAUAUAUUUGAUAUUAAAUUAUGAGUGGCAUGUUCAACGGUCAUGUGACCAUUGAACAACCAACUCACUUUUAUUUUUUAAAAAAAAUCAUACAACAUUUCUAAUAUAUAUAUAUAUAACUAAUGCAAAAUAGUUACACAAAAGAGGGUUAGCUCAGUUGGUGGCUAGCUCUCCUUAUGGAUCCAUAAGGGAAGGGGUUCGAAACUCAAAAUAUUUUAAUUUUUACCCAAGCCCGCCCGCCAGCCCGCCCGCCUAGCCCGCCCAGCUUGAGGGCCCACAGGCUGGGCCACGGACCUUAGAUAUACCAAGGGCCUGGCCCGGCCAGCCCGUUGACCAAUCAACGGGCUUAGUGGCCCACCCCGGGCUGGGCCAUGGGCCUUUCUCCUCAAGGCCGGGCGGCCCGGCCCGGCCCGUUGGAGACCCUUAGACCUACCACCCAUGUCAUAUGUUUUCUGAUUUUAUUUAUUUCUUUAUUUGUUUCCUGUGCAAAUUAGUAAACAUAUUUAGAUUUAGAUGUAGUAUUCAAUUUCAUGAUUGCUAUGUGGUAUUGGGAACUAUAUAAACCAACCCUAGCAUUUGUAUUUGCAGACAUCAAUUUAGAGUUGAGAUCUCAAACCUAGGACUUCAUCUGCCUGCUGUCUCUCUCUCCUCUCUGCUUCCAUGGCGGCUCCUUCUUUUGCCUCUUCUCAAUGGAUUUAUGAUGUGUUCCUCAGUUUUAGAGGAGAAGACACCCGCUUAGGCUUUGCUGCUCAUCUCUAUGAGGCCUUGUGCAGGAGAGGAGUCAACACUUUCUUUGAUGACUACGAGAUUAGGAGAGGCGAAUCCAUAUCUCCUACACUUGUAAAAGCAAUUGAAGGAUCAAGGUGUUCUAUCAUAAUUCUCUCUCAAAACUAUGCGAGUUCAACUUGGUGCUUAGAGGAGCUUGUCAAGAUACUAGAAUGCAGCAAUACCAUGAGACAACUGGUUCUGCCCAUUUUCUACAAUGUGGAUCCAUCAGUUGUGCGAAAACAUGAAAGGACCUUUGGAGAGGCCUUGGUUAAGCAUGAAAAGACUUUGAAGCAGGAUAUGAAUAAGGUGAAGAAUUGGAGCAAGGCCCUUAGUGAAGUUGCCAAUUUAGCGGGCUGGAAUUCACACAAGAAGUAAUCUUUCAAAGUUCCUUUUUUUCCCCUUUCCUUUUGGUUCUUACUUCUAUUGUCAUAGUUAUUUUUGAGAUCGCUAAUUUAGGCCUGUCAAGUAACCGUUCUAGAAAAAGUUCUCUUAUAACAUCUUGUAGUUUUCAAGUGUUUUCACUUGUUUUCUAAGACUAUUUUAAAAGCUAAUUAUAUAAACACGAAAAAUGGUUAAAAAUAUAACAUUUCAAAUAUAUACUUUUUUUUUUUUUUUUGUAAAAACAUAGAAAAUAAAUUAAGAACAUUUUAAGUUUUUAAACAAAAUUUUAUUCUAUAAAACAUUAAAAAAUAAUUUUCAAAUAAAUUUUUGUUUCAUAAAAUAUUUAAGAUCAAUUUUCAAAAACUGUUUAUUAAGUCUUAUACUCUAUUUAAAAAGUGUGUUUUAUUUUUAUUUUUAUUUUUAUUAUUGUUAAACAAGUUUUCCUAUAUUUUUGUUUGAAAGAACAUAAAACUAUUUUUGAAAAUAGUUAUAAAACAAAACCUUAUUUUCCGAUUUUGUUUAAACAUGGUAUUUAAAAUCUUCCACAAACAAUGAAACAAGCUCAAAAUAGAAAUUUGACCCAUUAUACCUUGAUCACCUUGUUAAUUUAUACUUAAGUUUCCUAUUUACAUUUCAACUGCAUGGAGAAGAACUACGGAAAAUCCUAUGUUCUUUAUUUUCAUUGACUUUGGAUUGCUGCACGACUUACUACGUGCAUGUGCAUAUUACAUGGCAGGCCUGAGCCUAAGUUUAUCAGGGAAAUAGUCAUUGAAGUUUUGAAAAAGCUCUUCGGAUUAUACCCAGGUGAUGCUAAGUGCCUGGUAGAGGAAGAUUCUCCUAUACAAAAUACGGAAGUGGUACCAAGUCCACACUCAAGCACUCUUCACAUUGCGCCAGGACAUUUUGACUACACUGAAGUUGAUGACAUUAUUUCCCAACAUUAUUCCCAACUUGUUUCGGAGAUGUUGGAUUCAUUUUAUAUCUGAGUCUGAGUGAGAUGAUGACUUAAACUUCAAAGGGUGUCAAAUCUAUGUUAACAAAAGUAUGGAAAAAUUUGUGAUCAGUUCAUUUAUCAGAACAAGAGAGUGCAGUUUAUGUUUUCCCUUCCCAUUCCGUUUAGAAUUUUAUUCUUUGAUCAUGAUUGAAAUAUAUUUAAUGGGUCCAACCCACUAUUUACAUUUGAUAAAAAUAUGCCAUGCCAAUCCUACUAGAUAAUAUUAAAGUUAAAAAGAAAAAAAAAAUUAAACUAAUCUAAAAAGAAAAUUUAGAAAAUAAAUAUUUAACGAAUUCAUAUUUUCUCUAUUUAAUUACAUCUCUAUUUUUCUUUCUUAUUUUAAUAAAUUUUCCAUAAAGGAAACCUUUGAAAAAGAAUUUAUGAUGCUGUCUUUGUAAGUAUGUAACAUUUUCUAAGAUGUAUUUGUCCUAAUAGAGGUUUUUACAAGAUUUGUAUUUUGAUUUUUUUUCCAUAAUUUUAUUUUAUCUUUCAUAUGAUACUAUGCAUAAAAUGAAAUGAUUAAAAAUUUUUACUGAAAAUUUUUAAGUUAAAAUAUUAUUUCUAUAUGAAAAAAGAAAAAAAAAGAAAGAAAAAGAAUAUGAUAAACUUGAUUUUAAACAUAAUCAAGGACAUGAGCUCUUAACAUUUUUAUUUAGUAGAUAAUUUUAUAGUUUUUCCAAAUCCAAAAGGGAUAAUUCAAAUAGCAUACUAAUUUGGUAUAAUGGAUGCUAGUACUCUUAAUUUGAAUUUAUUGAUAUCACGUUGAUAGUAAAUUUUUUAGUUAAAUAAAUUCAUAUAAUAUAAUAAUUUAUGUUUAUCCAUCAAUCAUUUUACAUGCAAUUUGAGUCAACUUUAACUAUCGUGCAUCUGCAUUUCAUGUGUAUCCUAUUCAAUGUUAAGACUCAUUUUUAUUUUUAAAAAGAAAAAUGAAUUAGUCAUAAUUAAUAUUUAUUUUUGUUUAUUUUUAAAAAAGAAAAAAAAAUUCAUAAAUAAAACCCUAAAGUAACUCCUUUUAUAUAUAUAUAUAUAUCUACGAAAAAUCAAGUGUAUAUCAAGGGUGAGAUUACUUAUUGGGAAUGUAGCAAUCGAUAGGACUAUUUUAAACCCCAAAAGGUCUCUACCAACCAUGUGGAGGAAACUAUGACAUAUAACUAAUAGAUCAUAGGUACCAAAAGACGACAAGAGUGGAAAUAUAUUAUAAGGUAUGGUGAUAAAGAAUAAGAAUAAGAUGAUGAAUAUAUGAGCUACAUACACCAAAAAAUCCUAAGAUCAAAGCCAAACAAAUAAAGAUUACUCAAGAGCACAACAUGCCUAGUAAAGGAAUCAAACAAUCAAAGGGGGAAAGGAACAUAUCUCAAUAAUACCCAAAAGAGGGGAAUGAGCUUACAUAACAAAGAAUGAGUUAAUUUACAAACAAAAAAAGAGAUCUAUCAACAAAUAAAAGAUCACCAAACAGUACAAGAUGUCUAUGAUUUAAAUCAAAGGUCAAAAGUUGCUAAGUUAGGAUCAAAUGGAACUUAUUCAUACAAACAUGUAAACAAGGGCAAAUCAGGAUAACAUACAUGAAUUUAAAAAAUAACUUUCUUUCAAAGAGUUAAAAAGGGUUAUGUUAUAGAGGAGAGCUUAUUUAACAUGUAUAAGAUGUAUAUUACACGAAUCAAGAGCCAAAGAAGGCUAAAAGUGCACCAAAUAGGACUAAUUCAACAAGUUAUACAAAGGGUGCAAAAAUAGGACAAAAUGUUAAUGUGAAAGAUGAAUUUAUUUAAUAAGGUUAGAGGUGAGAUAAAAAUUAGGGCAAAUAUUAUAUAACAUGUAUAAGAUGUCUCAAAUACAUAUCAAAAGUUAAAGGAGCCCAACUAAACACCAAAUGGUACAAAUUUCAAGAAAUACUCUAUAACUCAAAAAUAGGACAACAUACAAGCACACAAAAGAUUGAUUUAUUCCAUAAGCAUAGCAAUGGAUUUUUUAAUUAGACCAAAACUCUCAAGUUUAUUUAAGAUGUCUCAAUCAAACAUCAAGCCUCAAAAAUAGGUAAAAAUGAAAUAUUGAGACUGAUUUACAAAAACAUUUUAGUAUGUAAAAACAGAUUAUUCAACAAGUUUGGGAAAGAGUUUUUCAACAAGGAAAAAAAAUCUUUGAUAUAUUCAAGGUGUAUAAAAUAAAUUUCAAGUUUCAAAAAUAAUUUGAACAUGCUAAACAAUCCAAAUAUACCAAAAAGAAAAAAACUAAAAAAUAAGGCAAUAAAUAGUUGACAUUUAGCAAACAUGAUAUGUAGGUCUAAACACUAGCCUGAAUUAUUUUGCAUGGACAAUCCAACAUUCCAACCCUCUAAGAAGCAUGACAAAAAGCUCAUAAGGGCUAAGAAUAAUCUCAUUCAUCUUACACUUCAAUGAUAAUCUAUAUUUCUAGAAAAUAAGAAAAAUUGAAAAUCAAAUAUUUAAGAAAAUGAGUGAUGUUGGCUUAGGGUAUGAGCCAUAGUUCAAUUACAAGACUCUUGUACCUUAUCGCAACUCUCAAUUGAACAUGGAAUUAAAAUCACAAAAGGCAUGAAAUGCCUAAUUACACUCAUAUUUAGGGAAAAGGGGACUCAAAUGCAUAUAAAAGUAUCCAUAAGGGAGUAUACUUUCAUGUAAAUUCAAGCUAUGUAUGCCAAGACAUAUGACAAUUGUUAAUAAUUAUAAAUUAGUAAUGAAUUCAAGCUCAUAAUAAUCAUAGGAUGAUAUUCACAAGGAUUAAAAAAUGUCUCAUAAAAAUCAGUUUUGAACCUUUUUGAAAAAAGACAAAAGACUAAAAGCUAGUCAUGUUUUAAAGCAAAAUGGCAAGGUUAAAUCUCAUGGCUAUGGACAUAACCUUUUAGUCAUGAAAUAAGCUUGAAUUUCAGAUAGAAAUAAGUUGAACACAAGAUAAAGUUGGCAAUCAAUUUUGAAAAAGAAUCAAAAAAAAAAAAAAAAAAACAAAUGAACACAUGUGGCUCUUGAUACUCCUUUCCAAAAUUAGUUAAAAACACUUCCAAAAAAUUAUUGAAACAAGGGAAAAUUGAAAUCCCUAAAUGAUGAAUAAAAGAAAACCCAUGGGUCACAAGUCAAAAUAAUAGGCUCCUAAAAAAGGAAAUCAGUUCAAGAAAUGAACUAAUCAAAGUUAAGAAGGGCAUGAGGAACAUUCAAAAAUCAAUGUAAGCAAAUAAACAAACAUCUAAUAAGCACCCAAUAUGAAAAGAAUGAAGAAAAUCUUAUUAGACCCAAAGAUGAAGAGAAAUAGGUAAAAAGUCAAUGACAUUAUCUUUCAAUAUCCACAACUCAUAUAAGCAUCAUCUAAAGAAUCGACAAAUAAAUAAAAGCAAACUAAAGAAAAAAGAAAAAAAAAAGUUGGAAUUAAGGACUUAUAAAGAAACUCCUCCCAAGUAUGAUACUUGGCUUUUAGCAUGCACAAAUCUUUUUCCUCAAGCCAGGUUCACCUCCAAAUCUUCCAAUCUUCUCUUUUGCUUUUUUCACUCUCAAAAUGAGUAGAGUUUUCCCUUAAAAAGUAGAAAGUGAUCUUAAAAAUGAGCCCUAAGGCUCAUAUUUAUAAGUCAUGAGAGGGUAGAGAAUAGGACACAUGUCAUCAUCUCCACCCAAGCUCAAACUUCUCUUUAAAACUCUCUCAAAUUAAAACCUAACAAAGGAGACCCAAAGCCCUAGGUUUAGGCUCACAAAAACUCCCCCAAAACCAACCCAAGAAACCUCUAAAUAAAGAAAAAAAAACUAGGUGAGAAAAGGGACACUAAAAAGUACCUAGACAAACUUCAUCACUUCUUUUGCCUUGAAAUCAAUGUUUCCUUGGUAUGUAGACUUUACCCUCUAUUAAACCAAAUACAUUCAUGAACUUUUGGUCAAAGAAAAAAAUACAUGUUUGACUCCUCCAAAAUUAAUGUCUCAAUAACUUAAAAACCCAACCUUAUUCCAAACAACCAAGAGCCAAGAAACGUCACUAAAUAUUGCCAAUUAUGUGGCUCACCCAAAUACCCGACCUUCACAUGACCUAUUGUCAUUCAUAUUGUAACUCUCAUGUGCCAACACUUUCAAAUAAAGGGCAUUCAUUAUGUCAAAUGUAUUUUAUGUUAUAUAAAAGGAACAUUAAUGCAUGCUUCUUGUCACUUAUCUUAAAACUUUGUUUUACCUUGAACACUUUUUUUUGUGAUGUAGAUUGGGCUAAAUAUUGUUCAAUCACUAGAAAAAGCACAAUAGGAGUUUGCAUUUUUCUUAGGUCACAUUGCUUGUCUCGGGCUUUUGUGAAGUAACCUACAAUUUCAUGAUCUAGCAUUAAAGUUGAAUAUUAGUCUUUGGCUAAUACUACCACUAAAAUCAUGUGGCUUCAAUGUCUCAUAAUCUCAGCAUCAAAUUGGACCAUUGUACCCUCAUUCUUUGUGGCAAAAAAAGUGUCAUUCACUUAGCUCACAAUCUAGUUUUUCAUGCAUGCACAAAGCAUAUCAAGAUUGAAAAAUCACUACAUUAAGGAAAAAAGUCACAACCAACUCUUCACAUAUGGUAUCUCCCUACCAAAAAUCCAAUUGCUCAUAUAUUAACAAAUGAUUUACCUAAAGAAUCUUUUCAAAUUUGGCUUUUUUAAAUUGAUUUUACAAGCUUAGCCUUAUUAUCACUACUUGCCGACCUUAAAGGUGGUGAAAAGAUUCCUCAUAAUGUAUUCACAAAUCAAGCCAAACAAUUUGGAAAGAAUCAACAAUAUCUCAAGAACUCGAAAUUUCAUAAAGAAUUCAAACACUUCAUAGUUGAACUCUAUCAUUUUUCCUACUAAUUAGAAUUAAUUUUUAUCCUCCAUAAACCAAUUUAAUUGUUUCCUAAAAUAGUCCUUUGUUACAUUGAGCUCUCUUGUUACAUAAAUUUUUGUAUUUCUCUUAAAAAAAACAUAAUAUAUAGCUCCAUUAUUAUUUUUUAAAUAGCUCUAUUUCUUUUCUAUUAUUGAAAACUUUAUUCUAUUCAAAGGAAGUAACCAUUUUAUUUGGAAAAAAAAUGCAAUUUUAACGUAGUAAAUCAAAUAUUUUUAGAAAAUUGUUCAUGUGAGAGGUUUAUUUAUUUAAAUGUUUUAUCAUGAAAUUAAAGUAUUUGUACAUUAAACUGUACAAAGUAGGAUAACUGCUCAGUUCAGGUCACUCAUCCACUAAUUCCUUGUCUAUCUCCAAGCGACUCAUCAAGGUCCACAGUGAACCUAAUACAAAGCUUUUCUGGUAAUGCUUCUGCGAUUGGUUUUUCACCGCCAACCAUGUAAAGUUUGGAUUCUCUUACGAAAAAGCACAUUCCAAAGGAAACCCCUCCCCCACCAAAUUGAAGUUUUCGAAUACAGGUAGUGGCGGUAUCUCAAAUGUGGAAGACUCGUAGUGAUUGAUUUUCAAUUUGGUCACGUCGAUGGCCAGAAGACGUUGGGGAGUGGCUGCCAACAAGACGCCUGCACCUUCCAUCUUCUUCUUUCUACUCUGCACAAAAAUUUCAAUUUCUAGGUUUGAUUUGAGGGCUCGGAAGAAUUAAGAAAGAGCAUGGGGGUUUAUAUUGGGAUCUCUGGCCUCGAGCCUCUGCCUCGGGGCCUUUUAACACUAGUGGGCUUUCCAAUAUCUGAAAUGCCUCGUAAAAAUUUAGGAGUUUGUAUAUCCAUGUGUUUUAAAAAUAAAAAUAAAAUAUCAUUUUUAGAGCUGCAAGGCUUCCAAAAUUGAGUGCAUUAAUGGUAACAGAGAUCAAAUUUGUUGAACACUAUAUUAAGUGUGAAUAAUAUCUCCAUAGUAAAAUGAAGUGAGCAAUAACUCCUACAAUAGUUCAAAUAGAAAAUUAAAAUAUUUCCACGCUUAAAUGGAAUAUAUAAAAUAUAACAUGCAAAGCAAAACAACUAAUCUGUACUAAUAAAAAUACCAGUUGUUUUUCACUUUUUUAUUUUUAGAAAUACCCUUAUCAAUACUAAUAAUCAUUUUAAAGGAUGUAAUGAAAGUCAUUCCUAAAAUUAUCAUUACAAACUUAAAAGGUAGUUUAAAAUUUAACAUUUUCAAUACUAAUAAUCAACUUAAAUAUAAAUUUAAUCUUUUCAUUUAGUUAGUGUUUUAAUUAUUUAGGCGUAAUUGAAAUUAUUCCUUAAAUUAUCAUUAUAAACUUAAAAGGUACUUCAAAAUUUAAUAUUUUCUAUACUCAUAAUAAACUUAAUUGGGAAUUUAAUCUUUUUUAUUUAUAUGACUUCUAAAUUAUGAUAACAAACUAAAAAGUAAUGAAAAUUUUAAUAUUUUCUUUUGCCUUCAAUUUCUAUUAUAUCAGUUAUUAGAAUAGGGAUUUAAUUUAAGGUUUUAAUUACUUGACUUAAUGAAAAUUUUUAUGUUAAUAACUUCAUUUUGAUUUUAUAUUCAAAUUCAAUCCUGAAAGUGUUCUCAAGAAACUGUAAAAGACAAUAUUAAUGUUUGUGAGAAACCUUUCAAACUAGGCAGUUAUCUUCAACACAAUUGUCGGACAUCCUAUAUGACAUAGUCACUCCAUCUUUCAUUCUAUUUGACAAAAUGCCCCAUCAUCCACCAAUAUAAUGUUUAUUAGUCUCAACCAUUAAUUUUGGUUUAUUUAUAAUAUGUAUGAAGAGAAGACUGAUUAUGGUAGGAGAUCAUCACAAAGUGUUCUUCCAAUUUUAGAAUUGAGAUGAAAAUCAAUUAGGAUUUGUUUGGAAUCUCCUACAAAUCAAGUUUUUUUUUUCUUCUUAAUAACAAAUUUGAAAUAUUUUAAAUCAUAUUUGAGUGUGUUUUGAGAAAAUAAAUAAAGUGUAUGUAAUUUUUAUAUUUAUUAUUAAUUUUUUCUUUCUUAUCUUAUCAUAUCUUUCGUUUCUUCAAUGAAAUAAACUUUUUUAUUUUUAAAAAAAUUACAUGAAACUUUUUACCUUUUAUCACUCUAAUAGCGAUUUUCAUUCAUUUUAAGAUAUUUAAAAAUUGUAAACUUUUAUAUUUAAUUAAAUAAUAAUGAAUUAAUAAUAUCUCUUAUUAUAUUAUAGAUAAUUAUUGAAUAAAAAGUUUUAUAACUCAUUUACAUUAUUUAUUUAAGCAAAUUUAAAUUUUAUUAAGAAAAUUAUAACAUUAUUUAAAAAAUAUUAAUAUUUUAAUAUAAAAUUUACCAAAUGAUAAAAAAAAAAUUCUAUUGAGAUUUUAAUUUUUUUUAAUAUUUUUAAAACAAAACUUAUAUUUCCUUUAUAUUUUUUCUAGUAACAUAAAAAAUUGUAUUGAUAAAGUUUGAAAUAUUGAUAAAUACAAAUAUAUCAAUACUUGAAUUUUUUAGAUAUAUCGAAAAUAUCAAUAAAAUAUCGGCUAUAUUUUGACAAAAAUUUGGUAACAUGAAAAUUAUUAAAAAAUUAUGAAAAUACUUUAAAAAAAAUUAAAAAAAAGAUAGAAUAAGAAAGAAUAAUUAUUUUGUAACGGUAAUUAACAUUGGUGUGAUCAAAUAUAAUGUUUAUCAAUCUUUUUAAGAAAAUAUUAACUUAAAUUCCUUUAAUAUAUUUAUAUUUAUUUAUUUUAAAAAUUAAAAAUUAAUUUUAUUACAUUUUAAAUAAAAAUUUUAAUCAAUUUAUAUAAAAUAUUUUAUUUGAGAUUUGAUUUCUAAAAUUUUGUUGCAAAUUUGUGGUGAUAAUUUUUUGCUAUUAAUAUUAAUUUAUUUAAAUAAUUAAAAGUAUAAAAAAUUAUACUAAUAAUUUAUUUUAUGAAAUUAAUUUUAAUUUAUAAAAUAUUAGAACUCAUUAUUUUUUUAAUCAAUUUUUGAGUAAAUUUAUAUAAUUAAUAUUUUAAAAUAAAAACAUUUAAAAUUAAAUAAAAUUAGAAGGAUAAAUAUAAAAAAAUUAAAACUGAAGUGAUAGUAAUUUUAAAAAAUAGGAUUAAUGAGAUAAAUAGGAAAAAUAAUUAAACAUAAAAUGAUAAUAUAAAAUAAAAGGUAGUAUAAAUUUAAAAUAAAAGAUAAAUUGGAAAAAAUAAUUGAAAAAAAAACACAGAUGAUUUUUUUUUUUUUUAAAUUGGGUUUUCCGAAUAACUUGCCAAAAAUUCAUGAAAUUUUUUGAAAAAAUUGCUGAAAAAUUGGCGCUGAAAAAUUAGCAAUUUUUUUGGAAAAGUGCGUGGGAGACAUUUCAUAGCGAUUUUUUUUGGCGAAAUUUUGGGAUUUUCCUGAAAUAUUGACUAUAUUUUGGCCCAUUUUUUGGACUCUUUGUGGAAUAAAAGAUGACAAAAUCAUAAUUUUGGGAACAAAGGACCAGGUGGAUCAGUUGCACUAUUAAUUGAUCGGUUCAAUAGGGGGCCAGGUGGAUCAGUUACACAAUUGAUCGGUUCAAUAGGGAACGUGUUGGUUAGUAAGUAACAGUAGCACUAUCAAUUGAGGGGAACUUUAACUGGUUUAGGCACUAGUAGAUUGGUUGCUCAAGUGGUUGAUGUUCUACCUCCGACAGUGACCUUUAAUUCUCUAACAUGUAGUUGAGUAGUCAAUUAUGUAGUUGAGAGUUCUUGAACUUCAUUUAAAAUGUUUACCACUGUCGAAAAUCAUUCAUCUCUUUUGAGAAAAGGGCUUUUACUUUGUUCUUUGAGAGCAUUUCCUUCAAAGGGUUUAAUUUAUAUACAUGAUCAUCAGUGCCUGUGAGCUAGGAGCAUUCAUUAGACCAAUGCAUAUAUACAACCACAACUUCUACCAUCAUAUACAUACAAUAAUAAACUAGAAACAUAUGGAUUCAAUCAAAAGCAGGAAAUGGUUUCCAGCAUUAAGAGAGCAAGCUUUGCAAGUAACUCUCCACAUUCUCCAGUCCACAGAGCUCCUUCACAACAGGCAUUGUUGCCGGGACCUCCAACUGGAAUGUUGAAUCACACUUGGUUAGCCCAGUCCAGGAAAGAAGCUGUUGCCGGGCUUCUCUAAUAGCAGCCCUUGUAGCACAAUGAACUGAAACAGCUAGAAGUAACGGUGGUUCACCAGAAGCUGCACAAAACAUAUUUACCUUGCUGAUUAUGAUUCAUUGAUCUACAUAAAGUAGUGUGUUGGAAUUAUUACAAAGGAGGUUUACUAGUGAAUUUGAUUCAAAAUGAAUUGCAUAGUCGAUUCUACUAGUAGCAAAUAAAGCAAGUUUUUGCAGAUAGUUAGCCGGUACUAAGCUGUUACUACUACUGGUAUGUCUCAUGCUAUUGUAACGAGUUACUAACUAUUCACCUUUUUGGUUUAAAACCAUAUCAACAACACUUCUUAUCUAGAUGGCUGCCGACCUUCCGCAGGGUAUAAACCCCUAAAUUUACCUAACCUUGACAUGGUAUCUUAUGUUGAAACAGCUUGGAAUAAUUGCUGUGGGUAUCCAAUACCGGUCUUAAUCCCCUUAAUUGUAGAGCUUGCCCUCAUAAUAUCGGGUAAAUUGAAGUGGACUGAAGAUCUUUGUUUAAUGGCUAGAGUUAGAUAGAGGUUCACCAAUAUGGGCAUUAACAUGAAAGAAACACUAACCAUAAUGAAAAGGAAAGGUGUCUAGCCUUGCCUAUGAAUAUCAUUCCAUUGAUCUCAACAAGAGUUACUUCUAAUGAAUACUGCAAAUUACUCCAUUUCUAUAGAUAACCCAAGAAAAAGAAAAAGCAAACUCUUCUAGAUUCUCAAAGAUUCAAAGACAAUUUAUCAUUUACCAACAGGUGUGCUUGAUCUGAAUUAUUCUCUCCAACACCCUCUUACCUCUAACUCCUCACCCACACCUUUGCUCUACUCUUUCUCGUUUUCCAACAAGAGAGCUUCUCAUAUAAGCUGUUCCUUGAAUAUUUCCUUAUUCUACAGGAAACCUACUUGCAUAAAGAAAUAUGGUAACGAGAAUUUUGUUUUACAAGAUUAUCUUUUAGAAGAAAUUAUAAUAAAAUUAGAAUUGGAAUCAAAUUUAGAAAUUGACAUUUUCCUAUAGAACUCCUCAGGCAAUCAUACCAGUGCAUUCCUCAGAUUCUUCCAUUUUCUUUUUCCUAUCAUAUUGUAAUCAACCAAAUUCAUUUUUGAAAUUGAAUUAAAUUACUUAUACUUUAUGCUAUUUGGAUGAUAAAUUUAUUUACUAUAAAUUAUGUUAUUAAGAAGAUUUUUACUCUUUCUGAAAAUUCUUAAAAAUAAUGAAUUAAUCUUAAUAAUAAAACAUCUAUUUCGGUCACAAAUUCAUAAAUUCAUAAAAACAUCUCAUAGAAAAAAGUGCUAAUUAUGUGUUGUUGCAAGCAAGUCUAUUGCUUUAUGUAUUCGAUAAAAAUUUUGUAACAUUUUUUUAGCAACCAUGUAAAAUUAGAAAAGCAAUUAUCCAGUUUCUUCUCCACAACUAGGAUGCAUUUUCAAUGAAGAGUUGAAGAGAAAUACCUUUAGAAGAAAGAACACGAUUUUUAUGAUGUCCGCUGUUCAGUACCUCCACAUUGAACUGCUUGGGUACGGUGUCGAUUGUUGGGAUCUUGUAUGUCCAUGUGCCUUCGGUGACCACCAGUCCAUCUGAAUUAGUUGUGUACUCUUCCAGCAUAAAAAACCCAAUUCCUUGAACAAAAGCUCCUUCUAUCUGUAAAGCAACUCAGAAAGAAUAUUAGAGGCAUAUGGAUCAAAUAAGCACAAGUUUUAAGGAUAAGGAAACAUUGAACAGUUAUAAACAUCCUACAGUAUUAUCAAUGAAAAAGUUCCAUUGCAUUAAUCUGUGGAUGUGGAGAAUAAAAUCAGAGAAGAGGUUGAAUGCCAAAGCUUAGGGAUAGAAAAGCAGAGAAGGAGAUGAAAUAGUUUAAUAUUGUAGUUGGGCUAACCUGUCCUAAAUCCACAGCAGGGUUGAGACUCUGACCACAGUCAUAUAUAAUAUCAGAUUGCAAAAUUGUGGUUUGUCCAGUGAGAAGAUUUACCUCCACCUGUGACACCCAAAGUUUCAUUAUUAUAGUAAAAAUUGAAGCAUGGUUAAGCAUGAAAGCCUACUCUCCUCCAUGUUUACCUGAAGAAUACUAACUUAAUUUCAAUAAAAACUCUAUGGAGAGGAAUUAAUGGGAUCUUGAAAAACUUGCCUCACUCACUGCUGCACCAUAGUUUAGGUAUUGAAAGGAAGAAAAGUCAGGGACAUAGUAAGAACUUGCUGAUAAGUUCACAGCUUGACUUUGUGCCUGCAUUUUGAUGAAGCAAAUUGCUAAAUGGUAAGAGAUAUUCAACAUCUAACUUUGAGCAAGUCUGAAGAAAGAAAAAUGAAAAAAAAAAAAAAAAAAUCUUUGGAAAAGAUGGCAAAUGUCUUUAUAUUUAAUUUGGAUUUCAACAUAUGAAGUUCUGUUACAUAUCGCUUUCCCAUAAAUCUAGUUUAAGAACUCUUUUAGUGAGAAAAAUAUCAAAAAGAAUACUUUGCCAUAAGGUCCAUGCCUUAAGUGCCACUCAGAAUUUAUAUAAUCAUGGAUUCAACUCAACCCCAGUUUAGUAUGAUCAAUGUUGUCAUAUUCUUCAGUACUUUUAACUAUUGGAGUCAUAGUUUUGAGUAGAGAAAUUGUUUUUGAAUUAAUGUUUUUUUUUUCUUUGGAGAUAUUAAUACUGAUGGUUUGAUUUUGAUUGUUUCUGAAUCCUUACAUAAUGCUCUUUCAAUACCCAAAAAAUGUUGUGACCAACAUGAAUACAAGAAGAAUUAAUUCUAAAAAAAUAAAUAUCAUAUGAAUUGGUGAUUUACAUCCAAAAAAGGACUUCUAUACCAUGUAAGACUCUCCCAAUAGUAUCAUAGGAGGCCUUUUAUGGAAUUAGACCAUUAUUAUUUUGGUGACUCAUCCUUAAGCUUCUAAUUUGUAGAGAAAACAAAAGAGGGUUAGAUCACUUCGAUUUUCUAUUCCUGUACAUGAACCCAUAAGUUUUGAAAGAGCAAUUCAAAACAAAUUAAUGAUACAAAGAUGUUAUGGAUGGGGAAAUAAAAGUAAUAAGGAAGAAUGACAUAUGAGAACUAGAAUCUCUUCCAAAAGGAAAAGAGGUAAUUAGAGUAAGACGAACAUACAAGACAAAGAAGGAUGUGAAAGGAGAAAUAGAGAUAUACAAAUCAAGGUUGACGACUAAGGGUUACAUGCAACAAUAAGGUAACCAUUAUGUGAAUACAAAAUCAACAAUUGCAUCAUAAAAAAAAUCAUGUUUUUCAUGAUUGAAGCAAGUACAUUGAUAUAAGAAAUCAUUUUAUUACAAAGUGCAUUAUGAAGAAGAAAAUGCAAUUAAAAUUUGCAAAAUCUCAAGAUCAAAUUGCAGAUAUUUUUAUCAAGCUCCUAAGUUUGAAUAUUUAAGAUGGUUAAGGAUGUUACUUGGAGUUGCAAAUCAAGUUUAUAAGAGGGUAUGUUAGAAAGUUCAACUUUAUUUAGAAAAAUUCUAAAAAUUAGAAUUAGAUUUAGUCAUUAAAAGUAAAAGAAAAAAAAAAUUAUUUUGAGUGGUUGCUUUAUUUUCUAUAUUUGAGUAGUUAAGUCCCAAAAGGUUUUUAUAUUUUAUGAUUGAAAGUUUUCGAUUUUAUUAUCUAUAAAUAAGAGACGUGAUAUUUUAAUAAGAGUGAUAGGAGGUAAUAAAUUUUUAAUUCUGCCCAAUUGUAUGUUCCUUUAUUUAAUUAUUUAUACUUCUCUUUCAACCCUAUAAUUCCAACAAAGACAGCACCAAAAAAAAAAAAAAAAGUAAAAUAUACCAAAUGUGCACAUAAUUACCUGAAGAAUCAAUGUGCCCCAUUCAACAGAACCCAUUUGCUCCUGCAAUCUCUCCUUGAUAGGAUUCAGUCUUUCAACCAACAUAUUGCAGCAGAGUCUAAUAGCUUCACAGCUGCACUCUGAUGUAGUGCUUCCAGCAGUCAACCCCCCCUGUAUUAAACUUAAGGUAUCUGAUUGUAUGACCCUUACUUUCUCCAAGAAGUCUCCCAUUCCAUCACAUCCAAUUGAAAUGAGAGCAAAUGCAGUCAUCUGUUUCACCUUUGUCCACAGCCCCUGCCCCAACUCAAUCCCUCCAACUUCGACAGCAACAGAUCCAUCGCUAAGAAUGCUUACUUUCCCUGGAGUUGCUUUUAAUGAAACUUCAUGCACAAUUGGUACUCGAGAAAUACCCCUUUUCUGCCAUUUAUUGCACAUAUUAAACUGCUUUAUCAUAUCGGUCCUUUCUUUAAAGCUUGAAGACGUAGCCAACUUAUCCCAGAUUAAAGGUAAAGUGUACUCCACAUGUUCACCAGCACAGCCCUCAAAGAAAAAAUUGAGGCUGUUGAAAGUGUGGAGGUUUCUGCUUCUCACAGAGUCCACAUCCAUGGAAAGAGUAGAUGCAACAUGUUCAAUUACAGCUUCGGAUAUAAAUGUAGCUUGUACCUCUCCAGGAGCACGCAUUGCUGAUUUAGACAAAUGGUUUGUUUUGCAUACCUUUAUAUCAAAAGAAAAAGCACCCCAAUCAUAUUUUUUAAGGGCACCAACCAUGAGCAUGGGCAUAAUUGGGCUUAUAUCUACACCUAUUCCUGCGUUGAUUAAUAUAUCAACGUGUAAGGCAGUAAUCUUCCCAUUCGAUUUGAACCCUACACUGUAGGUUACUUUCAUUGGAUGUCUUCCUCCUGCUAUUUUCAUGUCAGUUUUGCGAUUCAUAUAUAUCCGGACAGGGCGUUGUAAUUUGUAUGCUGCAAGUGCACAUGCUG
rnacentral:lncRNA from 1 species